AAAAAAAAAAAAAAAAGUGGGGGUUAAAUUUCAAAAUUUGGAUUUUGAGGGCAUUUUAAUCAAAUAACCCUAAAAAAUUAAAGAUAUGUUGCCGGGGAUUAAGGAGACUUCGUUUGGUCCUAGCCCCUUGUAAAAUUAAAGAUAUUUUUGUAUGAUGUCUUGUCCAUCAUAAAAAAAUUACUCAGAGAUGGUGUCGUUUGGUAAAGAGACCGAGCUCGUGGAUGGAAGCUCUGGCCCACAUCCGAAGAUUUGAUAACGACGUAUAAAGUAUAAACUACCCUAGGCCUCCGCUUAUAACUUCAUUUGUGCGUUCCUUCCCAGAAUUUGAUUCAAGAUUAGCCCUACAGCCUUUUCAGCUGAUCCAAUUUCAUAGAUUACAUGGAUGCGCCAGUUCUUUUGCUUCUUCUCGCUCUGCUUCUAUCUUCUCCACUUCCAUCGUCUACCCUCGACAGUUUGAGUCAAGGCUCAUCCCUAUCAGUUGGGAAGCCUGAACAAGUUUUAAUUUCACAAAGUGGAAUCUUUUCAGCCGGCUUCUACCCCGUCGGUGACAAUGCUUAUUGUCUUGCCAUAUGGUUCACCAAACCAUCCUACGACGGCAAACAUACGGUUGUUUGGAUGGCAAACCGAAACCAACCAGUUAAUGGGAAUUUCUCAAAGCUUUCCCUGCUAAAAAAUGGUGAACUUAUCUUAACAGAUGCCGGGCGGUUCAUAGUUUGGACCACAAAGGCGGUUGGGGUUUCUCCGGUGCGAUUACAUCUCUUCAACACUGGUAACCUUGUGUUGCGUACCUCGGAUGGUGUUAUUCAAUGGCAAAGUUUCGAUUCACCAACAGAUACCCUUCUCCCUCACCAGCCACUCACCAGAAAUACGAGACUUGUCUCUUCAAGAACCAAAACCAACUUUUUCUCAGGGUUUUAUAAGCUCUAUUUUGACAACAGUAACGUCCUCAGUCUUGUGUUCGAUGGGCCAAACGUUUCAAGCGUUUACUGGCCCCCAUCGUGGCUUGUAAGCUGGCAGGCGGGCAGAUCGGCAUACAAUAGCAGCAGAAUUGCAUUACUAGAUUACUUUGGCUAUUUUUCUUCAUCCGACGGUUUUAAGCUUCAGUCCUCGGAUUUUGGUGAGAGAGUCCGGCGAAGAUUGACCCUGGAUAUUGAUGGCAACUUACGAUUAUACAGUUUUGAGGAAGAGAGAAAUAAGUGGGUUGUUACUGGGGAAGCCAUCACGGAACAAUGCAAAGUUCAUGGAAUAUGCGGACCCAACAGUGUUUGUACCUAUGUGCCCGGUUCUGGGAGUGGAAGGAGAUGCUCUUGCAUACCUGGAUAUGAGGUGAAAAAUCGCACUGACCGAACUUAUGGAUGCAUACAAAAAUUCAAUCUUUCUUGCAACUCACAGAAGGUUGGUUUCCUCCUACUCCCACACGUGGAGUUCUACGGCUAUGAUUAUGACUGUUACCCCAAUUACACCUUACAGAUGUGUAAAAAACUGUGCUUGGAAAAAUGCGGUUGCAUAGGAUUUCAAUACAAGUACGAUCAUAUAUGUUAUCCUAAGCGGAUGUUACUCAACGGAUACCGCUCACCUAGUUUUGAAGGACAUAUAUAUCUAAAAUUGCCCAAAGCUAGUCUCCUUUCCUAUGACAAACCCGUUGAGGAAUUCAUGUUAGAUUGCUCGGAAAACCGCACAGAGCAGCUAGUAAGAACCUAUUCAAAAGCCCAUGAAAAUGGAGUGUUAAAGUCCAUCCUCUGGUUUGUCUGUGCAAUUGGAGGAGUUGAGAUGAUUUGCAUCUGUGUGGUGUGUUGUUUCUUGAUGAUGAAGGCCCAGCAAAACACCAAUACAGAUCCGCCAGGCUACAUUUUAGCCGCCACGGGAUUCAGAAAAUUCACCUAUACUGAGCUGAAGAAAGCAACACGGGGUUUCAGUGAGGAGAUUGGAAGAGGAGGAGGUGGGAUUGUAUAUAAAGGUGUCUUGUCAGACCACCGAGUAGCAGCCAUCAAGCAGCUCAAUGGAGCUAACCAAGGAGAAGCUGAAUUUUUGGCAGAAGCAAGCACCAUUGGGAGGCUUAACCACAUGAACUUGAUAGAGAUGUGGGGUUAUUGCUUUGAGGGGAAGCACAGGCUCUUGGUUUAUGAAUACAUGGAGCAUGGAUCACUAGCACAAAACCUCACUUCCAAUACACUUGAUUGGCAGAAGAGGUUCAAUAUUGCGGUGGGCACAGCAAAAGGUCUGGCUUAUUUACACGAAGAGUGCUUGGAGUGGGUUCUACACUGCGAUGUGAAGCCUCAAAACAUACUCCUAGACUCUAAUUAUCAGCCAAAGGUGGCAGACUUCGGCCUGUCAAAGUUACAGAACAGAGGAGGAAUCAACAAUUCAAGAUUGUCGAGGAUCAGAGGAACGAGAGGUUACAUGGCUCCAGAGUGGGUUUUGAACCUCCCCAUCACGUCCAAAGUAGACGUUUAUAGCUAUGGUAUUGUGGUUCUGGAGAUGAUUACCGGUCUAAGAAGUGUUGCAAAUGCCAUCCACGGUACAGAUGGCAUAGGGGAACGUCAGAGUUUGGUGGCAUGGGUGAAAGGGAAGAUGAAUAGUGCAACUGCAGUUGCUUCGUGGAUUGAAGAAAUCCUAGACCCGUCGAUGGAAAGCAAAUAUGACAUGGGUGAGAUGGAAAUUCUAGUAUCAGUGGCUCUGCAAUGUGUGGAAUUGGAUAAAGAUGAAAGACCCACCAUGAGUCAGGUGGUCGAGCUGCUUCUCCGCCGUGGAUGUUGAUACAAUUAUCACUACUGAUAAAUUAAUACCUCCUAUGGGGCCAGCCAAGUAUGGCAGCUUUCUGAACCUAUUCCGCCCAUUUAUGAUAUUCGUAAAAAAAACAUUGUUAUUUUUGCUACCCUCCUCAAUAAAGAUUCUACUAAUAAAUAUUAUAUAGAAUUUUAUUCCCAAUAUCUCUCUUUGGUGCUCUUAUCUUAUUUUAUAAAAUCAUUUUUAAAAUUUGUUGAAUUUGAUAUAUUUUACCCUCACAUAAUUUGUAGCAGGAAAAGUUUCUCUCUUCAUCAUACAACAAAUUCUUUUCUAUGUAGUAUACAUAUAUGAAAGCUAUAAAUGGCUUUAGCUUUAAUUGAAAUCAUAUAAUUUCUCAUUGAAUCUAAUCUAACGUGACUUUAAAAAUUUUCAAAAUAUAAAUCAAUUCCUCCUGCUUAAACAUAACACUAUAAUUGCAUCUGUGCCUUGGUGCUUUCUGUGUUAGUGAAUGAAUUAGUUUAAAUAUUGACUUUUUAGACAACAAUUUUAAAGAGCUCAUGCGUCACACUAUCAAUUCAACCUUCUUUGAUAUUUAUUUAUUUAUUUAUUUUAAUUACCUUUCGAUGGUAUCAUUGCUUGGAAAAUUUUGAUGAACGUGAAAGGGAAAUGGAAAAUCGUGGGGCACACGUCCAUUAUGGAGUCAAAAUCUUUGAAAGAUGUAAAAUUGUCGUGCAAUUCAAUCUAAUGUAGAUGGACAAAAAUGCCAUUUUAUUGAUCAAGCAUAGAUGAAUGUGGAAAUGACGCAACGCAUCAAAUCAGACUUGGCGGAUGACAUGUAAAAUGCAAAAUUAAAUAAUGAUUGAAAAUCAAAUGAAUGAGCCACCCAGCAAAUGUCUAGUUUCAAGUCUUUCAUUUUUUUUUUCAACUUAAGACCUCUUUUUGGAAAUUUAUUAUUAAAAAUAUUUUAAUCUCUAAUUUUUCAUAAGUUUCUUUUCAUAAACAUGUUGACUGGCUUCAGGGAAAUAAACAAAAAUAUAUUUUUAAAUUAUUUAAUCUAACUUUAAAAAGAUAAGUAAAAUUUUAUUAAAAUAAUUUAUUAAUUUUAAAUUUAUAUUUUAUUUUCAUUCAUUUGACAUACCUUCAAUAAUUAGUAUAAAAUUAAUAUAAAUGUUUUAUAUAAUCCGUUUACAUGCAUGGUAUAUUAUGUACAAACAGGAACAAAAUGAAUGAGGCACUGUAUGUGACAAAUAAAUACAUUUUUAUAAAAUUUAAAUUUAAUUUUAUAGUAUAUGACAUGGAUUCUGGCGUCAUCUUCCACAUCACUGAACUUCAUCUUCACCUAUUUUCAUCAUUCUAUGUUUCCAACGCUUCCCACUAUGAACGUCUCUAGAAAAAACUGCCCGAUGUGGCUCUCCUCUUGGCUCUACCACAGUUAAGAUUUUCGGCUUGAUGUCGUGUACCUGCAAUUUACACGAUGUGUUCUCAUUCGAUGGCGAAUUCACUUUAAAUUUAUUCGAUAAAAAUAUGGUUUUUAGAUUAAACUGUUUAUUUUUUAUUUUUUUUAAGGGAAAACAAGAUAAGAAAUAAAAUCUUAAGUGUGACUCUUUAUUUGGGAAAGACGGUCUGUGGAAAACUAAAAUCAAGUUUGAGGGUCAGGUUAUUUAUUGGAAAGGUAUGAUAAAAGACUGUAACACUCCUCUAAAUCCCUAAAAACGGGUCUCUAUUAAAUAAGGUGAAACAAGUGUUACAAUUGAUAAGGAAAUUAAUAGAUACCAAUAAAAUGAUCAAAUAAUAAAACGAAUCAUAAAUAAGAAUAAGCAAAGUGAGAGUGAGAUCAUACCUUAGCAGCAAGUAAUAAUGCGUUAUCAUGAAAACAAUAUUAGUUCAAGUAUAAAAUUAUCACAUGCAUAUUAAAGAGUAAAACAAAGAUCAAGUAAUAUUCAUUAAACAUAACAAUUAACAAUCAAAAGAGAAAACUCAUAUAUAGGGCCCUACCAAAGUCCAAUUGAUUUUGCAUGAAUAAAUCCAACAAAUUUCAUUAUUUUAGAAUUAUAAAAAUCAUAUUCAUACUUAUUUAAAAUCAAGAAAAUCGAAAAAUUAUUUAAAGAUCAAAAAAAAUUUGUGAAAGUACUUACCUGAAGGGAAAUGUAACAAGUUUAUUAAAAACGAGAUUUUUGGAAAUUAUUUGAAAAUUGAAAUCUUAAAAAUUAAAUUUAAAAAUUGAAAUUUAAAAAAAAAAAAUUGAAAAUUGGAGUUUUGAAAAUUGGAAUUUUGAAAAAUUAUUUGAAAAUGAGAGUUUUGAAAAUUGGAAAUUUGGAAGAGUAUUUGAAAAUGGGAAUUUUGGAAAGUGAUUUGAAAAUGGGAAUUUUGAAAAAUGAUUUGAAAAUGGAAGUUUUGAAAAUUGGAAUUUUGAAGAACUAUUUGACAAUGAAAUUUUUAAAAAUUAUUCGAGAAUGGAAGUUUUGAGAAUUGAAGUUUUGAAAAUUAGAAUUUUGAAAAUUAUUUAAGAAUUAGAGUUUUGAAAAUUAUUUGAAAUUUGAAAAUUUGAAAAUUAAAUUUAGAAAUUGAAGUUUUGAAAAUUAAAUUUGAAAAUUGAAGUUUUGAAUAUUGGAAUUUUGAAAAUUAAAUUUAGAAAUUAGAGUUUUGAAAAUUGGAGUUUUGAAAUUUAUUUUAAAAUUAUUUGAGAAUUGAAGUUUUGAAAAUUAUUUGAAAAUUAAAUUUGAAAAUUGGAAUUUUGGAAAAUUAUUUGAUGAUUGAAGUUUUAAAAAUUAAAUCUGGAAAUUGAAAUUUUGGAAAAUUAUUCGAGAAUAAAAGUUUUGAGAAUGAGAUUUCUUAAAAAUUAAAUUUGAAAAUUAGAAUUUUAAAAAAUUAUUUGAGAAUUGAAUUUUUAAAAAUUAAAAUAAAUUUUGAAGGUCGGAACAAAUCAUCUCAUUGACCUUAUCCCCGUUCUUGUAAAUCUUGAAGGUUGGAACACUUUUUAUGCUCUCAGUUUUUGCUACUGUUGGGCUCUCCUCCACAUCCAUCUUGAGAAAUUUUAUGGAUUGGUAUUGAACACAGAGCUUAUCCAUGAUGGGGGAGACCUGUUCACACUGGUAAUUGGAUGCCACUUUGAAGUGAACCACCGAAACACCAGGUGAAGAUAUUGCAGUUUUAAACUGGUCGACACCAGAAACCUCCUCCACUUCACCACCAAACUUCACACUAUGAGUUUCAUCCUCCCAUGAUUUUGACAAUGCAGCUUGUGCCUGUGAUAGAGAUUCAACAACCUCGACGUCUCCAGGAAGUUCCCUUCUCAAGACCUCAUAAUCUUUUACUACAUCUGCCCAUCGUCCAAGCUUCCCAUUUGAGACAGCUCUAUGAAGAAGAGCCUUGGUGUAAUUUGGUUGGAUCUUGAGGGCAUGGUUGCAUUCCUCAAUAGAUUUUUCCCAUAAACCAAGUUUAGACCAGCAAACUACUCUAUUGCAAUAUAGAACAGAGUUCGAUGUAUCAUACUUGAGGCCUUCCCCGUAAGCUAAGCAGGCUUCUGAAAAUCUUCCAGAACUAAAGAGUUCAUUGCCAUGGGCCUGCGCUCUUGCCACCAGUUUAACAUUGUUCAGCAAUUUUGCAACUUCAACAUUACUAUAAUCAAUCAACCCCGUCUUCUCUGCUGCCGCAACUUCCCAGUGCCAUCUCAACCUGAGCUCGAACAUAGAGAACAUAGGCUUCAGCAAUCACAUCGAAGAACUUGGUUGAGCGAGAAGGAGAAUAAUGUUCAAAUUUUGGAAUGCUUGAUAGGUAGGAAUCUGCAUCUUCAAUUUGGUGGAGCUUCAACAGGGCCUCUACUCUCCAUGAAAUGAGUUGAGGAUAAGAAUCUGCCCCGCCUGCAUUGGCUCAUCACAUUCCCUUAGUGUACUUUUCCAAUCACCAAUUUUCCAUGCAUCAGCACAUCGGUUCAAAUACUUCUCCAAAGAAAGCAACUUCUGAAGCUCAGAUGGAUCUGGCGGCUGCGCGCCCAGGUAAAAAGAGAUGGCGUCGGGCAAAAUCAACAUGCCCUAACCUGAAAGUGCUCCUCCAAUCUUCCAAAGACCGGUAAACUUCCUUCAUCCUUGCUACCCAUGACUCGCCUCCUGCAACUUCUCUAUCUAAUGCUCAGAUCAUUAUCAUUUGAAGCUCUCUCGUUCCAGUCAUCUCUCUUGCUCUGUUUUUCUGUUUUUCUCCCAAUCCCAAAAAGUCUCUUUCGUUCCUCCUCCUGGUACUCUGUUUCUUUUCGCUUUAAAUCAUCCCCUGUCUCAGUCCAGCUUUUCUUCUCCUAUCAGCUUCCCACCCGUUCCAUUGCUCCUGGUUCAGCAAAGAUGUCACCACCCUCAACCACCACCAUGGCAAGUUGGUAGUCCUUGCCACACGUCCCAGCAUGCAGCUCACCUGGAAAGCCAUCCCCCACUCUAAAUGAAAUGUUCAGCUCUUCUCGGGUGGCCAGCAGGUGGUGAGAAAAAAAAACUUUGGUCCAGAGAGGGGUCUACAGAUGCCUUCGAUCUAUUUCAGGUGGUCGGCUUUGGAGCAUGGAUGGCUGCAGAUCUGCCAAGUUGUUGGCCAUGAAUCUCCUGAAUCCACUUAUUGCUAACCGCUUGUAUUAUUCAACAGUUGAAGGCUGAUUUCAUUGAGUUGAAAGGCCAAUGGGCCAUGGGGAGCAAUGCUUGCUUCACCCAAUUUUUAAAAAUUCAUUUUUAGUAAUACAAAAAAAUUUAUUGUAUGAAGUAUUGAUGUUAUUAUUAUCUUUUUAUAUUGAUUUUAUUUUUUAUAUUUUUUUUCCUUAGGAUUUUCUUUCUUUUCACUUUUUCUCCCUCUUUUCUUUUAUUUAUAUUUUCUCAUAAUCAAAUAUCGACUUAGAAUUUAAUUGCAAACAAAGUGUUAUGUAAACAAUUAAUAUGGUCUUGCUAUUUUGCUUUUAUGGCCAUUAAAUUUAAGGACUUUGUGUGAUGGCAAUAGGGUGAUUUUUUUAAGGUACCUGUCCACCCUGGGCUUAAAAUUUAAAUAAAUAGGUUUGGAGCAGGUUUGAGUUUUUUUAAACUCAAGACGAGUUUGGAUAUUGUCCCACCCCAAUCAUAUACAAAAUUAAUUUAAUUUUUUAUUUUUCCAUUUUUAAUAAUAAUAAUAAUAAAAUACUUUUUAAUAAAAUAAGUUAUAAAAAAUUAUAAUACUUUAAUUAUGUAUAUAAUAUAUAUAUAUUUAUAUAAUUAAAUAAUUUAAAAAAAUUAAAAAAAAAAGUUUAAACAAAGCGGGAUAAGACAAGUAUGAGAAUUUCUCAUACCUAUCAUACCCUGCCUAUCACAUUUAAUUUUUUUAAUAGAACAAGGUUACAACAUGGGCUACCUAUUCUAAACCUGUCUCAUUAUCAUCCCUACAUGUGUUUGCAUGUAUAUAUGAUACAAGUGGAAAGUUUGAACUAUGAUAUUGAAAAUUCAAUUCACCAUUUAUUUUGUAAUUAUACAUCCAAAUAUAAGCAUGGAAAGGGGCGAAUUGACAUAAUAGAAGGCCUAACUGCUCAUGUUUUGUAUUUAUUUAAAUUAAUAUUUAUUAAUCAUUUAUUUAUGUAAUAAAAAAUUUGUAAUUCAAAAUUUGAUUUUACUAAGUGAAGUACCUGAUGACCAGAACUGGAGCAACCUAAAGAAAGAGAAGAACAAAAAAUACACCACGACAUAUCCCAAAAGCCUAAUGGCCCAUCCCCUAAAAAUACUAGCUUUAUAAUUAUUAUCGUAAAAGAAAGAGAUGAACAAGUGAUUUUUCGUCAUAUAAUGUUAAAAAAUUAAAGUAUUAAUUUUUUUUUUCUACUGAAAAUAAUUUAAUUUCAUAUUUCUAAUUGUUUUUUUUUUACUUUAUGUCACUUAUUAUUUAUUUUUAAAAUAUUUUUACUAAAUUUAAAAAAUAAAAAAAAAUUAAAUAUUAAAAUUAAUCUAUUGAUUUUUCUUUACUUAAUAAAAAUAAAAUAUUUAAAAAAUAAAUAAUUUAAUAAUUAAUAUUAUUAAACACUAUUUAAUUUUAAGUUAAAUUUGGAUUUAAGUCUAAAAAAAAUACCACUUAAAUGUCUUCAUUGCAACGAUGGACAUUAUUAACUCUACUUUUUUAUAAAAUCUUUUAUUUUAGGAAAUUUUAACUUCCAAAUGAAGUAGUUACGAGAAAAAUAACUAUUGUGGUUGAAUUUAUUUGAAAUAAAUAAACCAUAAAAAAAACACUUGAAUGGAUUAAGGACCGAUUUUUUACGCCAAGGUGGUGGUGAUAUAUUGAUUUGAGUAAGAAUUUUAUAAUUUCCCAAAAGAAAGAUAAAGAGGAAAAGCAACAUUUAUUAAAAGAUAGAUACAUUAGAAUAUCAUAUUCAAAUUUAGUAUUUUUCUUUUCUCUUCUUUAUAAAACUAAAUAAUAGAAAUCAAAUGCUUUUACCAACUUCUCAUACUGCACCGUUUCGUUUUUCACUUCAUCUAAUUUUACCUUCAAUUCAUUUUUUUCCCUAUUUUAUUUCUUGAAACAUGUAUUCACUAAAACCUCUGUACCAAUGUUUCAGGACAUGGAGAGGAAGCCAUCCUGCUCCGGCCUGUCCUCCGGGCACAUAAGCUUCUCAACUAUUUGGCUCAUCGUGGGUCUUGAGUCCCUGUCUCCCUUCACACAUUCCAAGGCAACUCCAAUCAGAAUUUCCAUCUGGCGCAUGUUGCAUUCGCCUUGCAUCACAGGGUCCAGGAUGUCUUCAAUCCACGACCCCCUGACACCAAUCCUAUUCAUUCGAUCCCUCACCCAUUUAAUCAACCCAGGCUGCUCUGUCUCUCCUUGGGCAUCAGUAUCGGGGAUAGCAGAUGGGCUCUUCCCUGUCACCAUCUCCAAAACCACGAUUCCAUAGCCAUAAACGUCUACCUUGGAGGUUAUGGGAAGGUUGAAUACCCAUUCAGGAGCCAUGUAUCCUCUGGUUCCUCUGACCCUCGAGAAACUUGAAUUGCCAAGCCCUCCUCUGUUACGCAGUUUCGACAUCCCAAAAUCUGCCACUUUUGGCUGGUAAUUAGAGUCCAAGAGUAUGUUCUGAGGCUUUACGUCACAGUGCAGAACCCACUCCAAGCAUUCUUCGUGUAAAUAAGCUAGGCCUCUGGCCGUGCCAAGCGCUAUUUGGAACCUCUUCUCCCAAUCAAGAGUAUUGGACGAUAGCUUUUGUGCCAAGGAUCCAUGUUCCAUGUACUCAUACACCAACAGCCGGUGCUUCCCCUCUAUGCAAUAUCCCCACGUCUCUAUUAAGUUCAUGUGAUUAAGCCUUCCAAUGGUGCUCACUUCUGCUAGAAAUUCUGCUUCUCCUUGAUUGGCUUCUUUGAGGCACUUGAUUGCUGCCACUCGACGAUCAAGCAAUACACCUUUAUAUACCAUUCCUCCACCUCCUCUUCCAAUCUCUUGGGUGAAACCUCGCGUGGCCUUCUUCAACUCUGCAUAACUGAAUCUUUUAAACCCGUUUGCAGCGAGGAUGUAACCUUGCAUAGUUGAGACUGGAUCAUGGUGUACCCUAAAUAGGAAAAGCCAUACCAGCAAGACAAUUGCCGUCUCUAGAACUCCCAGUCCAUAGGCAAACCAUAGCAAAAACUUCAAAAACUUCAAUGUUGUAUCUAGCUGUAUAUAACGAGUGUUGCCUGAACAAUUUAUGGUGAAUUCUUCAAGGGGAUCAUAUCUGGGAAAGAGACUAGCUUUAGGCAGUUUUAGAUACAAGGUUUCAGGAUAAUUUGGCGAACUGAAUCCAUUAAGCAAGAGGGCCACUGGGUAACAAUUGUAAACGCCGUCCCCAAAAUUUAGCAGGAAGGCCUUGCAUUUGCACAACUGUAAGCAUAGAUUUUCACAGCUUUCAUAGGUGUAAUUGGGGUAGUGACCAUAGUCAUAGCCGUAGAGUUGAACAUGAGGGAGUGGGAAGAAGCCCACCUCAGUUUGGUUACAAGCGAUAUCAGUUUCUGGUGCGCACCCAUAAGACCAGUCAGUUGAAUUUACAAUCUUGAAUCCAGGCAUGCAAGAGCAUCCUCUGCCAUAAGCAGGGGUGUAACUGCAGAGACUGUUGGGUCCGCAGAUGCCAUGAAUCUGGCAUGGUUGGGAGAUAGCCUGCCAUGAAACCGACCAGGUUCCUCUCGUUUCUUCUAGACUAUACAUUCUAAGAUUGCCAUCGAAAUCGAGGGUCAAUCUUCUCUGAGGCCCCGCACCAAAAUCCGCUGACCGAAAUUCCAAAUCAUCUGAUGCUCUAUAAUAACCCAAAGAAUCGAAUACUGCGAUUCGACUGUUGUUGUAUGUGCUCCUCGCAGCCUCCCAGGUCACCCGGCUUGGGUCUGGCCAGUAGAGGCUGGAAACCACAGGACCAUUGAAGAGAAGGCGGAUGACGUUAUCAAUGUCAAAAAAUAGCUUAUAAAAACCAGAAGAAUAGUUGCUUUGGCUUCUUGAUGAGAUAAGGCUGGUAUCUUUUGUCAGUAUCUGGUGAGGAAGAAGGGUAUCUGUGGGUGAGUCAAAGCUCUGCCAAAUCACCGUCUUCUCCCAAGCAUAUAGAACAAGAUUGCCGGUGUUAAGGAGCUGUAAUCUCACAUACGAGGUUGAAACGGUGUUGGUCAUCCAAACCAUGAUUUUGCCAGCAUCAGUUAAGAGGAGAUUGCCAUUCCUCAACAAAGAAAGCUUGGAGCCUCUACCGUUGACCGGUUGGUCACGGUUCGCCAUCCAAACUGUGGUUGCACCCCAUGAUUUUGUGAACCAUAUGGCGAAGCAGAAAGUGUUGUAACUGUUGUUGCCGACCUGAUAAAACCCAGCAGAGAAUAUACCAUUUGCUGAAAUGAGAACAUCAUUUGAUUUCUCCACGGAAAGAGAUGAGCCUUCGCUCAGAGUAUCAUACGUUUCAGAUGAAGAUGGAUAGAAAGUUAAUAGCAAAGCCAAAACAAAGAAACCAACUGUCCUAUCCAUGAGUUUUGGGAUAUGGUUUAUGUGCUCUGUUUCCUGAUCAGAUAUUUGCAAUGGAGAAUGCAAGUGUAUGGUGCUACCAGAGUUUAGAAAAUAAAUGUUUACAUCAUGACUCCUUGACUGGGUGAACGGGGAAAAUUUACAUUGCCCCUCGGGCCAAGUUUUGCUUGCGCCAUCGUGUUUGGUUUCUAAAAACAUUUCAUGUCAAUGUCAAAGACUCAAAAUAAUGGGAUGAAGACCCGGGACUCUUUGACUGGCCUGGUGGCCUUCACGAGUUUUAUUUAGUGGUGACGUAAAACUGGGGUCUGGUCUGAUGUUGAUUGGCCCAAGCAGGGAAAGAUCAAAUGGGAAACGACUUGUGGGCUGACUUUCCAUGCACCAAGGAACACUUCAUAGAAAUUAAUCGAGCCAUUGAAUUUCAUAAGUUCCCUCUUUGCAGAAUUUUGAAUAUUUAAAAAGAAUCUUAAUUUUUAAAACCUAAAUUUAUGGUUAAUUUUUAAAUGCUUAAUUAAUGCGAUUCAAGGUGUAAAACAUUUUCUUUUAUUGAAUCAAGAUUUAAUUUAAAAUAAAAUUGUUGGUAUUGCUCCCUCUUUUUUCUCUUUUUCUUAUUCAAUCUCUAUUUAUAGUUUCACAAUAGUAGUUUUCUUGCCACCUUUGUGGGUCAAGAGGAACAAAUGCUAAGAAUUGUAUUCAUCUGCUUUCUUGCAACACUCACUAAAUGUAAUAUUGUAAUAAGAUAUGGAACCUGAUUUUGAUUAUGUUGGUAUAAUUAUUGAUACAGUUGAUGUCUCAAAGUCAUUUUGGCAAGGACUUUCAGGGUAUGGUCGAAUCAAGCUUGUAUAACUAUUAAUUAUUAAUAUGGUUAAAAGAUUUCUUCGACAUUUUGGUGCUCAUAUAAUUAAUAUUAUUACAGCUGAGUCCUCCAAAAUCCCAUUUUUCUAAUUUUGACUUUUCAAGGUAUGAUAAGCAAAAUUUAAAAGGUUGUGACUCUUUAACAUUCCCUUUUGCCACAUGGUGCUUUAAGGUUGCUUUCUAUCAUUUCUCCAAUGGCUACUCAUGGGGAGCGGACAUUAAAACCUGUGAAUCGAUGACAACAAUUUUUCUUCUUUAGAGUCUCUUGUUUUUCCCUUUGCAAUAGUAUUUUUCUACUUAAGAGGCAACAUCGCUAAUUGGAGUAUAGUUAUUUACUCUAUGCCUUAUUAGGAUCUUGAUUUUAGGAUUUUUCGAACCUUGAUUUUAGAAUCCUUGAUUUUAGGAAUCUUUUUUUUUUCUCUUCACCGUUUUUCUCUUAUUUUGCAUCUUUCUUUUUUUGAAUGGUAACUUCUUGUAUAUAUAUGCAUGUAGAACAACAGAAUAAAUAUGCAAAAAUUUUGUCAUUCCAAGUCUAAAGUUUUCAUGGUAUCAAAACGCACUUGUUCUUACAUUUUUCUUGUUGACCAUCUCUGUCACUCUUACAUUUUUCUUCUUGUUCUUUGUUUGCUUUUCACCAUACAAAUGGUUCUACUAAUCACCAGAAAAUAGAUGAAAUUGUAGAUAAAAAUAAUUUAUCUCAUCUUCAUUGUUCUGACAACCCAAGAUCCAUGAUUGUACCCUAAUCUUUGACUGGUGAAAACUACUCAACCUAGAGCAAAGCUAUGCUUAUGGCCUUAAGUGCAAAGAACAAAGUAAGCUUCAUCAAUAGAUCGAUGAUGAAACCUUCUUUAAUGAAUUCAACCUAUGGUCUAUGGAAUUGCUAUAACAACAUGGUAAAAUCUUAGAUCCUUAACUUUUUACCUUAAGAUUUAGCCAAUAGUGUCAUUUACAUAACUAUAAGAGCCGAAAUUUGGUCUAAUCUCAAGGAGCCUUUUUUUAAACUCAAUGCCCCUCAUUUCUUUCAAAUUGAGAGAGAUAUUAUCUCUUUAAGACAAUAACAUUGUUUUGUUGUUACCUAUUAACUGAAAGCUUUAUGGGAUAAACUUACAAAUUUGCUAUUUUUUCCCACAUGUACGUGUUCAACAAAAAAAAAAAGUGUUGGCAGAUUAUUAAUAGCAACAUCAUCUUAUUUAGUUCUUAAUGAGUAUGAAUGAAUUAUAUUUGUUAUACAUGGACAAAUUCUACUUAUAGACCCUCUUCAUAAUUGAAACAACUAUAUUAUCUCAUUUUACAAAAAAAAAAAAAAAAAAAGGGUCAAGGAAUGUGGUUGUGAUAGGACAACCAAGCAUUGAAACCAUGCCUUAGUAGCACAACAAUUAUAUCAUAUGGCAAAGAAACCAAAUAAUAAGGAUCCUAAGUCACAAAAGGAGUGACAUUUUUGCUCCCAUUGUGGUUAGGUUGGACACACAAUUGACUGAUGUUAUAAGUUUCAUGGAUACCUUCUCAAACAUCAUAUUCACAAAGAGACUUCUCAACCUAUUGCAAAUCAAAUAAGUCAACAAUCAUUUUCCAUAAGCAACACUUCUAUUACCUCUCCUUUCAUUAUAGAACAAUUCCAACAACUCUUUGCUCUUCUCAAGCCUCAAGUCAUGACAAAUCAAGUAGGUAGUGGCUCUUCCACUACUCAACUCUCAAGUAUUUGUUUAAACUCUUCUUUUCAUAACACUUCUUAGAUAUUAAAUAGUAGUGCAACAAAUCACAUUAUGAGUUUUAUUACCCUUUUUUCUUCCAUAACAUCCACUACUUUUGCUACUAUUAAGCUUCCUGAUAGUAGUCUUACAUCCAUAACCCAUAUUGGUAUUGUUUCAUUAUCUUCAUCUCUCACUCUUCAUAAUGUUCUUUAUGUGUCUUUAUUUCUUUUUAAUCUUAUUUCAAUUAGCAAGCUCACUCAUUCUUUAAAUUGUUUUCUCACUUUCCAUUUUAAUUCAUGUCUUAUCUAGGACUUUACCUCAAGAAAGAUGAUUAACAAGGGUGAAAAAUGCAAUAGAUUAUACUAUUUUGUUUUUUAAUCAUUAUGAUAUUUGCCCACUUGCUAAGCAAACACACUUGCCCUUUCCUAGUAGUUUUAUCAAUACCUAUGCAAUAUUUAAUAUUAUUUAUUGUGACAUUUGGGGCCCCUCAUCAUACAGAGUUUAUUUAGAGUGCAAGAUUUUUUGUAACCAUUGUUGAUUAUUACAAACAUGUGACUUUAGUCUAUAUAAUGUCCCAUAAAUCUAAAACACAUCAUCUUUUACAAUAUUUCAUCAAGCUUGUCACCAAUCAAUUUGAUCAAAAGGUUAAGAAAGUUUGAUCUAAUAACGGGAAAGAAUUUGCUAUGACUAGUUUGUUUCAAGAGAAUGACAUUUUUCAUCAAACUAGUUAUAUGGAUACUCCCUAACAAAAUGGGGUUAUUGAACAUAAACAUCACCAUCUUCUUAAUGUUGCUCAUACUUUACAUUUUCAAGCACACCUUUCUAUCCAAUUUUGGGGUGAUUGUAUCCUGAUUACUACAUAUUUGAUUGAUAAAACCUGAUCAUCACUUCAAUUCGCCCAUACUCUCUAUGUAAAGCUUUUUUUCUAGAAAACCCUCAUAUCCACAUUGAGUUUUUGGCUACCUUUGUUAUGCUUCUACUCAUGUUUUAAAGAAAACAAAAUCUAAUUCACGUGUCAAAUGUUGUGUAUUUAUCAAGUAUCCUUAUGGUAACAAGGGUUGUAAAUUUUAUGACCUCAAUAAUCACACAACCUUUGUUUCACAUGAUGUAAUUUUUCAUGAAAAUAAUUUUUUCGUUUUCUCAUGUGUCUUCUACUCCUCUUCCACAUUUAGUUCUUUCUUUGCCACCACCAGAAUAUUAUUGAUUUUUCUUCCUCAAAUGUGUCACCACCAUCUAAUCCUCCCUCGUCACCUAUGUGUCUCAUAUUUUGUAUUUUUCCUUUUUUUUAUAUGGUAAUUUCUUCUUAUAUAUAUAUAUACACACAUGUAGAACAAUAUAAUAAAUAUACAAAAAAAUUUCCAUUGCAAAUCUAAAGUUUUUAUUACUUUUUUGCUUAGUCUUGAAAGUUUUAUUGUUUAAGGUUUUAUGAACAAGUUGCCUUUAGAUCCUUUUUUUCUCCUAUUUUUUGCUUUAUUUUAUCAUUUAUUGUAUUAUUGUUUGUUUUUUUGUUUUUGGUUUUGUAUUUUUUUUUUCUCUUGAUUGGGAGAUGUGGGAGGCUUUUUAUUAUCUUUCUGUUUGUUCUCUAUGUUUAGUUUUUUCUUAGGAAAACAAGUUAUUAAGCACUUGGGAAUUCUCAUAUCCUUGAAUGUGUUUUUUUUUUCUUUCUAGCAUGCCUUCAUGCAACCUAUAACUUGAUUUUCUUUGUUUAGGUUAGAGUCAUCCUAUUAUUGCUUGUGCUCAUUUGUACCUUAAGCUUAAAUCUGACUCUUAUGAAUUUGUCGUAUAUAUUCUAUUGAAAGUAUGUCUCUUUGGUUGAUCUCAAAGUGGAAGUCUCUUCAAACUCAACAUGAUCAAAAGGAGAGGCUAUGGCUCUACUCAAUGGGUAGAACAAGUCAUUUACCAGGAAAAGUAGUUUGAGUGGAGAGGAUUUGAAAUGUGGAUUAACCUUGCUUGAGAGCUUGAGAGCUUGAGAUGCAAGAGCCGGAUUUUUGUCAAAUUUUUCACAUUCCUCAGGAUAUCGAGCUUAAGCUUAUUGAGGAUAUGAAUGAAGCAUUAGACACUACUCACCUUGGACCCAAAUCUAAUUCAACAUAUGUUGUUAGAAAGCAUUUUAAUAUGGGCCUAUGGCCACCUCUUCCAUUGUUGGUUUAUCAAUUUUUAUAUUAUUUCCAAAUAAACCAAAUUCAUGUUUAUGCCGAUGUAAUUCAAAUUUUGAGGGGUGCAUUCCUUCUUGAUUAUUUGUAGGGGUUUGACAUUGGAUUAGAGGAUCGAUAUCCUCUUCACGUACAUCAUCAAACUUGAUUCUCAUAAGAAAUUUUUUUUCUAUCCUUGGAUCUCAUUUUCUUCGACUUGUAAUUGGUAUCCCUCAUACAAGCAAAGGGAUAAUAGGCACCAAUGUUAUUAUAUGUAGCUUAUGGGUAGGGACAUCAAUGGAGUGGGUUAGAGUUGGGUUACCCAUUUCCUACUCCAACUUGAUUAUUUACAUUUAUUCUCAUUUUGAAACCGAGCAUGGCAAGUAUUAAAAUUUUUCAUACUCUUCCCAUUCAAUUUAUUUUUUAUUAUUUUUAAUUUUUAAUUUUAUUAAAAAAAAUUAAUUAGACCAAAAAUAAAAUUAAUUUAUAAAUAAAUAAAAUUAUAAAUUUUUAUAAUUUAUUUUUUUGAGAUGUAGAUUUUUAUUUUAUACAUAUUAAAAUGAAGAAAAUGAAAAAAUAAUAAUUAAAUUUUCGUAUAUAUAUAAAAUUGGGGCAGGUGAGGUGGAAUAAGGAAAUACACAAACCUACCUCGAACUUGACUAGAAUUUAAAAAACAUUCUCUAAUCUGCCCUUAACCCAAAUGGCGCAAAUUGCGGUAUUACUCGGUGAUGGUUUCAUGAUCAGGAUGAUAUUCAGAAUAACACGUUUUGUAUUUCUAACUUCCAUCACCCCGCAUUUGUUAUGGCACUUGCAGCCACCCAAGGUUUGUAUUUCUAGCAAAAUCUGAGUAGAAGAUGUAUAAAUGGAUGAUCUCCGUAGGACUUCCUCUCUGAGUUGGUUCAUCUUCUAUAUGAUGGGCGUUGCCACCCUUCCCUAAUCCCGCUUCCUCUAACUAGUUUGUUGGCUGUUUUGACUCAAACCACGACUAGAUUUACAUAUUUCUUGAUCCACUUGAGACAAUGUCAUAAUGUGCUGCGCAGUGGCCGAAGAUCAUCUUCCAACAUGGAUUGCUGAUUAGCUCUUUCAAAUAACUUAUCUACUGUUUAAGGUAAUUUUAAUAAAAUAAGAGUUCGAGAAAAUAGUGUUUGGUAAGAUGGCUUCCUUAAGAGCUUUACAUGAUUGUGCCUCAUGCUGAUGCUAUCAAGUUGUAGUCUGAAUGUGUCAUGAAAUCCCGGGUCAUCUUAACAUUAAAAACGGUUGGCUACACAUUGUGAGUUUCAGGGCAAAAUAGUCCUUUGCUGUAAAAUAAUAUAAGUUUUAACCCCAUCGUAAAACUUAUGUUAAGUGAGAUUUCGGUUUUUUUUCUUUUUAAAUUUAAAAUUUAAUUAAAAAUAUAAAAUUAUAAAUUAUUGUUAAAAUUAAAACAUAUAAUUUAAUAAUAAAAAAUUUAUAUAUUUAAACUUAAUGAUUUAAUAUUAUUUCAAUAAAGAUAAAUUGAUAAAUUAACAAUCUUAAAAUAAUAAAGUUUUAUAAUAUAUAAAUAAGAUAUAAAAUUAUAUAAUUUAUUAAUUUAAGAUGUUUAAUUUGUUGUAUUUUUAAGAUAUUAAUUUAUUUGUAUUUUAAAAUAUUUAUCUUUAUUGAAAUAAUAGUAUUAUUUUAAAUUUCCAUAUAUAGAUUUUUCAUUAUUUUAAAACAUAUGUUUAUAAUUUUAUGUAAAAAAAAUACCUUGAAGAUACAUUUCAAAAUUAGUUAAUAAAAUUGAUUAAAAAAAGUCUACUACAAAAUCUAACUUUUAAUAGUUUCAUCAAAGUUACAAAAAAAAUACCUAUUAAACAUUUAUAUAGUAAAAAAAAAAAACGUCUCUCCCUAAUUGUAACAGGUAACACAUGCUAUAUAACUUAAAUUAAUAAAUUAUACAAUUUUAUAUCUUAAAUAUAUAAUAAAUUAUCUUUAUUGAAAUAAUAUUAGACCUUUUAAGUUUAAAUAGAAAUUUUUAUUAUUAUUAAAGUAUAUAUUUUUAACUUAUUUUUAAAGUAAAAAAAAAAAAAGUUAAAUGAAGCCCCAAUUGUUAUUCGAGACUUCAACUUAAUGUUACGAUGGUAAUAAAAGUGCUACUUUUAACAUAAGUUUUGCUGGGGGGCUAAAACUUAUAUUGAAAUGGUUAUUUUGCCCCACAACUCACACAUUGCUUCUGUCUGAGCACAGGUAGUGAUCAGUAGCAAAGGUCUCUGAUAGCUAACGAAAGUUAUAGGCGAAAUUUGUUGGUAAACAGUACUGGGACCAUGACAAUGUUAGGCACACUAGUAAAACAAGAACUGUUUGUAGGGCAAAUGAUCAUUUCCAAUUUCCGAAGUCUUGGCAAAAGUACAUCAGGUAAUAGAAAGGAUCCACAAUGCCCUCAUACAUAGUGAACUUCAACAUAAAGAAAUGUCCUGGAGAAUCAUGUUGCAAGAUGUGUUGAGGGAAUGGUGUAGCAACCAUAUUAUGGAGGACACAGAAAGCAGAGGUAGGCAAUGACUCUGUCACCGGCUUGAACUCCAUCUCAUAAUGAGAAGAUGUAUCCGCAGAAACCCGAAAUGUCAUUUCCCGAAUGCUGUGGGGGAGUCGGUUUAUCAACACAUGAAUGUCCCUGAAUUCCAACCUGAGCCACUAGUUUCCGGAUAUAAGAAAGUCAUCCUCGUUUAGAUGCUUGUAAGCUCCAUGGACAGGGCUUGCUGCAUUGGAUCCAACAUACGCACCAAGGAUUAAAAAAUCAAAUUAUUUCAACAAUCUAUCAUCUGAAAUUUUGCAUAUUGGUUGGGCCUUUCAAAAAAUUUAAGGGUAAUGUUAGGACAUAGAAUAAGUCUCCCGUGUGAAAGUAAUACAUUCUGCACCACUAGGGUAGGUUUGCCUUUGGUAAUAUAUGUAGUCUGCUUUACUUUUUAAAACAUCCAUAUAAAAAUACGAAAUAUUUAAAUAUGAUCCUUUAAUAAGUAAAUUAAUUUUAAAUAUCUUAUGUUCAAUUUUCAUUUUACAGAUUGUUCAAAAUAUAAAAAUCAUUAUAAUAAUUUUUUGAAUGAGUGUUACUUUAUAUGUUUUGUAUAAUAUAAACAUGUAAAUAAAAUUAAAAAAUAAAUUAUAAAUACAUCAUUAUUUCUUUUAUUUUAUUUAAUACAUCCAAACUAAGUAAAUCAAUAUAAAAUAUAUUUUCAAGUUCAGGAUAUUAUCACUGAAUAAUACAAAUUAUGUCAUAUAUAUAUAUAGACAUAUAUUUGUUUUUAAUUAAAAAAAAACUUUAAUAUGUAUUAUUACUUGUUUUAUCUUUUCCUAAAAUUUUUUCCAAUAUUUUUAUCAGUUUUUAUCAAUAAUCUAAGAAAUAAGUCAAAUGGGCCAUUUCAUCUGCAUAGCCCCAAAUAAAUCGAAUUUAUUUCUUAAAAAUUGAUUUUCAUAUAUUUAUUUUUAGUUUUUAAUUUUUUUUUUUCAAGAUUUAAGUUUUAUUUUGUGAUUUUCCUUCUGACAGGUUUGCCUAUCAUAUUUUUCCUUUCAUUGGUCCAAUAAUAAAGGGAAGGGGGAAGGGCAACAAAAUUCUUGGUGAAUGGUUCGAAAAUUAAAAAAUAAAAAAUGCCAAAAUUCAAGGUUGCCAGCAGCUUAACAAAGCAGGCAUGACAUGGAGUUGUAGGCUGUGGAUGCCAAUUUUUAACAUUUUGCAGCAUCUUCUACACUGAUAAUUGAGCAAGCUGUGUUGCAGAGCCGACCUUUGGGCUCCAUGGAUGCCGAUCCAGCCCAACCUCGCAUCCACCUUGAGUGUCUAUUCAUCAAAUGGCCCAGUUUAUAAAUAAAAGUCUUUACUCUAAUUUAAUAUAAUUUUUAGUUAAAAAAUAUUAAGUCACUAAAUUAAUUUAUCAAACAUAUUUAAUAUAUUUAAUAAUUUAAAUUAAAUAAUUAAAUUGAUUCAUCAAGUACUUUCAACAUUCUUAAACUGAGCGACGAGGUGUUUGGCACCAUCACCAUUCGUAUAAUUGAUUUUAAUGCUCAUGUGGGGUUUUGUAACUCCCAAUAUCUUCAUACGCUUAUCACCUGGUGUAAUGGGUACUAUGACAUAUUCAAUGAUAUUUAGGGAGCUUAUCCUCUCUUUUCAUCAAUCUUGCAUCACCCAUCUUCCCCAAAAUUAUAUCAAUAGGUGCUUGGAAAAUACUAACAUCUCCUUAGAGAUGAUUUAUAUAUAUCGCCUAAUGGGGGUUUUUGGUUGAGGCAGAAGGGGCAAAAUGUUUAGUUAAAGAAACUCGUAGAAAGUGCAGUUUGGUAGAGAGAAUUGACUCAUCUUUUAUGGGUCCUAAUAUUUUCAGUUUUGUGAGCAUGAUUCAUUUAACCUAAACUUCAAGUUAGUUAAGGUAUCAAACAAAAUCAUGCAGAGGACCCUGCUGCUUUUUUUGUUUCUGGCUCUCAAACAAAAUUCAAGUUUGAUUUUUCUUCCCCUAAAGAUGAUACCAACAGAAACGGUUGUGUCCUUUCUGUCUGCCAAAAGUUCCAACAAUUUCUGGGAAAUUUGUUUUUCAAAAACUAGAAAACACAACAAUCAACUAAGAGAAGUCGUAAGUGAUGUCCAGCUACCCACCGAAUGACCGACCCUCCCCUUGCAUUUGCACCGUCCGCCUAAUAAGCCAUGCCCCAUCCCAACAAGUGGGGGCCACAUGCCAUCGACGGCUACAACACUGCUCCUCCCAUCACUGUAGAUACUAACCAGAUCUUUAGUUUUAGUUUUCAACAGGUUCCGCAUUUAGUUACCUGAAUUGCUGUGUUUUGGGCACAAAGAUAUAAGCAUGCUUUCCCGGGAAAAAAAGUCGUCACCGAAUUUCAUUUUUCCCCAUUUUUUCGAUUUUCUAUUGAAAAGGCGGUUGCUUCUCAGAUUCUACCACCAACCACCAUAGCUCAUUCCUCUCAUUAACAAACCCUCUAGAUUUUCUUCCUUCCCCGUCUUUUCCACUGUACACUACCAAAAUUAUUUGUAUUUAAGAAGGAAAAAAAAAAAAAAAAGGGAACAAGAUUUCAAAAAAACACAGCUUGUUUUUUAAAUAUCCCGAUUCCCUCCGAGUCGACUCAUCGCUGCAACCAUAGGUAGGUUGUUCCUUCCUCUACUCGAUUUUGCCAAUUCCGAUACGCUUCAUCACUGCGUUCCAAAUAGCUUCAGUCUGCAAACACAGACCAUUUUGCUCCAUGCCCGACAUGUAGUUCCUCACUUCCUUUCUGAUCAUUUCUUGCAUCACAGCCAAGAAUUCGGGGGUGAAGAAAGGUUUCUCCGACAUACCUAAACCCAACUCACAGUUCUGGAUGUUUCGUGGGGAUCCAGGGUUUUGUUGCAGCUGUACAGGCGGUAUCGCCGGUGAUUGGAGAAUCUGGUUUUGGAUUUUAACAUGAUCGGAUCCUGAUAAAUGAUUUGACACUUCGCAAGAAUCGGAUCCAGGGAGAGAGAGACUGAGGGAUGUUGGGGGAUCGUUCGUCGAUGAGGCGGCCUCGAUUUUCUGAGUAGGUAGAACUAUGGGACCGGUUCUCGGCACUGGUCUAUAAACAAGCGAUGAAGCCAUGCCAGGAGCACUGGAAUCACUGAAUUCGGACCCCGAAGGACUACUUGGGCUAAGAUUAUGACCCGAAACCGUUGUGCCCGCACCCACACUAGCCGAUCUCUUAAGAGGCGGUUGUGCAUGCCCAUCGGCGAUCAUGUCCUCCGUUAUAGACGAGCAUUUCCGCUUCAAAGUUGAAUUCCAGUGGUUCUUUAUGGCGUUAUCCGUGCGACCAACGAGGAGACGAGCAAUCGUCGCCCAUUUGUUCCCGAACCUCGCAUGGGCUCUAAUGAUGGUCGCGUCCUCCUCCGGCGUAAAGGCGCGGUGCUCCACCUGCGGAGAGAGCUGGUUACACCAACGCAGCCGGCAAGACUUGCCGGACCGCCCAGGGAUGGAUUUGCUGAUCAAAGACCAGUUCCUAGGGCCGUGCUUCUGCACCAGUCUCUGCAACGCUUCGUCUUCCUCGGGGCUCCAAGGACCCUUGAUCCGAUCUAAAUCUUUCUUGGAAGACGCCAUGGAUUGAGAAGCCUAAAACGCCUACACGAAUUUGAGCCCUUAACUCUUAACAAAGAGAGGAAGAAAGGAGAGAGACUGAUUUUUCCUUCUCAGCAGAGGAAGUGAAGAAAUCUGGAGGAUGAGGGGGGUUGAGGCCUCACCUUGGUAUGAGGAGAGAGCAUAGAGGAAAAGACAGUGAGGCAUAUAUAUACGAAAGGAUAAGGAUGACUGGCUGAGGCGGUUGCAGUGACCGGUCAUAGCCGUUGCGAGUGGAGGAUUCUUCCGGGCAAAGGCAGUUACUAGCAAACAGCUGUCACCGGACACGCGUCGCGCUGGCGACGAUCUACGUCUACGCAUAAUUACACACUAAAAUCUCGGUAUUUUAAAGUUCACCGACCGUUUUGGAAGUUAUGAGGGAGGUUAAAUUAGAAAUGGGGCAUUUAUAAAGGGCUUAUAGAUGAAAUUUUCAAAUUUCUGAACUGAAGUGUACGGUUGAAGUGAGUGAGGGUGAGGGAGCGGACUUUGACUGAGCCAGGCUGGAGAGCAUUUGGUGAAUGAUUUUAAAUUUUUAUGCAAUAUCAGAAAAGGACGGGAGGGAGUGGAUGAGCUGGCACUAAACGACAACGUCUAGUAGCAGAAUCAGGGGACGAACGGUACUACUCUUCUGUCACUCCAGCCUGUAAACCAGCCACUCAUAUGGCAACGCCUAACGGCCUUCUCUUUACUGCCACGUGCCGGUGGGUCACCCCUUUCUCUCCGUUUUCCUAAACCGACUCCACCGUUUUACCUGCAUCAUCUCUGUUUUCCUCCUUUCACCUUCCAAUUUAAUUCGCAUUCACAUCUUUAAUCUUUUUAAUCGCUUGCUAUUUUUAUCAAUUAUCAUAUUUUGUUUUUGCAAACUUGUGUUCAAAUUAAUUUUUAAAAUUCAAAAUACAUUAAGACUCCGGACUUACAAAUUUAGUUGAUUGUUUAUUUAAGAGAGUGGGAUAAUUUAAAUGUUCUUUUUUCUUUAAUCAUAAAAAAGUCUAAAAUAAAAGAAAAUAUAAUUAAAAUUAAUUAAAAAAUUAUAAAUUUUUAAAAAUAUAAGAAAAAUAAAUGAAAUAAGUUAUAUAUAUUUUAUUUAUUGGCUACCAUUUUCUCUCAAAUUUUUUCAACAACCAAGCAUAAUGGAAACAUUUAAUAGAUCAUUUGGCUCCACCUUAUUGCUAUAGUAAUUAAAAUUGUAAAAUUUAGAACUAGCCAUGAAAACAUUACUUUUUAAAUUAAAAUUUAAUAAAGUAGAAACGAAGUAUCAUUCUAAUAAUCUUGUAGAACUCUCAUGAUUUCUUUAUCAUAUAUGUUAAAAUUUGUUAAUUAAUUUACGUAUUUUUUUAUUGAUUUUUACUGGUAUUUUUAAAUAUAACAGAAAGGUAUUAAUUAGAAUAAGUAAGUAGGUUUUACUUGAAAGUAAUUUUUGAUACAACUAAAAAUAAAAAAAGGUGUUUAACAAAUCAAUUUAAUGAUUUAAUAUAAUUUAAUAAUUUAAUUUAAAUUAUUAAAUAAGUUAUGGAUGUGUGACAAAAUUACUUAAUAUUAUAAUUUAAAAUUGUUUUUAAUUACGGUUUAAGGCUUGUAUCCCUUUGGCCUUUUAAGGCCGUUGACUAUUCUCCAGGAGAUUACGUAUUAAUUGGCUCCUCCUUCUCAAUGUUGAACACAUCUGUCUGCCACUCACCUCUUUCUGGUUGCUAGAUUAGCCACCAUUGUUCUUGCAACAUUGCAAGCAGCUUUCCCGUGUUAGCCAUUGCAAUUUCAUUUUCUAGAUGCAAUUUCUGUCGUUUACAGCAUCCCACUCUAUUGAACCAUUGAACAUUACAGUUUUUAAGAAACAAAAUCUCUUCAUCAUUUCUUCUGGAGGAAUAUUCUUAUGUUCUAAUUUCCUUUUCCUUUAUUGUUUGUUUUGGGCUUGGUCAUUUUUAACUCUAGCCUUAAUUUUUUUAAACCUAUUUUUUCUAACACCUCAGUUGAUGAGAAGUGCAUAACAAUUUCAGUAUUUUUGGUCACACUAGAUUGUUAUGUUGAAUACCGUACUAUUUAAAUUUAGGUCCUACAUCGGUAUACGGCAUUUAAUAUAUUUUAAGACUUAGUAAAAUGGCAGGAUAAGAACAAAUAUCAAGAUCAGGUAUUUAAUGUAUUUUGAGAUACAGUAAAAGAAGCGAUAAAAAAACAAAUGUGAAGGGGAGUCAUGAGUGGUGUUUGCAGGAGGGCGUAAGUAUAAUAUGUUGGAAAUGACGGUGGAGAAUGGAGAUAGGAGAAAAGAUGAGUAGUGAGAAAAAGAAUGAAAAGAUAUAUGCGUAGAAACAGAAAAAACGGAAAAGAGGAGAGGAAAGCAACAAAAACAGAAAACAGAAAAGGAGGGUGAGUCCUUAUCUUCAACAUGCAGUCGUUUCGCCGGGACAGCUGUCUCAACUUCUCCCUUCCAUACAUGCCUAUCUCACGUGCCACGCGCUCUUCUCUCUCACCUAACUCUGUCCUUUGCUCGUACCUCCAUGUUUUGAGCAUGUCCUCACGUGACAUGACCAUCCCUUCCAUGGCUGCACCCUCUGUCCCUCGUGGCCACGCUCCUCAUGAGCCAGGGUGCCACAAGGGCUUCACCCCCACCCACCCAAUUAACGAAGUCAAAUUAUUUAAUUUUGAUUUGGUGAUUAGGCAGAAUAUUAAGUCACAUGGUGUGGAAGAGCGGAGGAUGUUUCCACAAUUGAUUAAAAUUUGCAGGUGACGAAUAAAAACAAAAGUUCCCGUUUCCAAGUUCCAAGACUCUCAAGGAAGGGCAAGGCCGACGUUGCAUUAUUAGAGUCCACAGGCGCAACACAUAAAAUAACAAGGAAUUGAAACACACAGGACCGCAAAAAGAAUGAUACGUCAUUAAAAUAAAAUAUCGGAGAUUAGGCCGCAGAAAGUAAAAGUGAGCACAGAUUCUCUCGCACCAAGUACAUUGUUCCCAUUAACAAAUGUAGGACUGGGGAUGGUACUAUAAUUGCUGUUGGGACACUGAAUCAUUGAAUGUAGCACCAUCAUAGCUGGGCAUGGUCGUCUUCGUCUUUCAUUAAUUAAAACAAAUAGGGUCGUUAAAAAUCUUAUGAAUACCUAAAAAAACUCGUUUGAAAAAUAUAUUCUCGUUCAUUCAUCGUCUUCAGAAAUUCAGGAUGAAUUAUGUAGAAAAAAGAAGAAUAGGAAGGGGCCUCCAUUGUAUUAUUGGUGUGUCACCUGUAGCGACAGCCAUGCGUGUCGUCCAAAUGAAGUGCGUGGGUGUGUAGUGGAAUGAGAAGCAGACACGUAGACACAUCAAUGGCGACCAAACAUCCGACACGGCAAGCAAAGUGAUGACUGAGUUCUGCCACGUAUGCGGAAGUGGGCCAGGAAGGAAAUUCGUCUGUUUAAGAGUGACGUGGCAGAUAUGGCAUAGGGGGGAAGGACCAUAUGGCAGAUAUGGCAUAGGGGGGAAGGACCAUAGAGAGCCGAGAAGCCGUUGUACUUUGGCAAUCAGGUGCCACGUCCACAGUUGCCAGCUAUAACCCACUUCCCGAAUCCCAAGAAAUUAAGAAGAUAAUAAUCGUCUUUUUAUUUAGCGGGGGAUGGCGAAAGGUGGGUGGUGUGGUGGGGUAAGUGACCAUGAUUUUCGCUGCAUUCAGCCAAUGGUACGAUAGGAACGUACGCUUGACGUCUGUCAUCCUGUAUUAGCGUACGGCACAUAUUAACUGUUGCUGGCCUAUACGUAAGUCGUGUCCAAAUUUGGGUUCCGCCUCGGUCUUUUCACCCACUGAAUUUCUAGUAAAGUAGAGGCUAUGGUGUACCCUCGACAUGUAGCUCUGUGUUUAAUUUGGGGGUUCAAUGGAUCAAGUCCUCAUCCUGUAACGUCACACAUACCGUCUUUUCUAGCUACCGCUGUCAUCAUUUUGAUUUCUGUACUCCUCUGUAUAUCGUAAGUUCACAACUUUAAAUCAUCGCCUUUGUCAUUGUAUUUGAAAACGCAUUGCUCACAAGUUCAUUCAAAAUUUUUAAUCCUUAGAGAAGUACACUUUAAAGCCUUUAAAAUUUCUCUCUAUAGUUGUAUACUUUUGCCAGCCAUUUAGGAGAAGGUAGAUAUCUCAGUCAUCUCCAUGGUUAGACAACCAGAUUCUCACUCUGAUAUUUUGCAACCAUAAAUGGAGAAAAUACAGCGUUGAAUGACUGUAGAUACAGGUAAAGACAUAUUCAACAUCCUUUCAGGGGUAAAAAAUUUUGAAAAAAAAGGGAAAGGUACAACAGAUUCUUUCCCCUUAUCAGAAACUUUCUUUCAUUUUGGACACCUUUUGUAGGAAAUACAAACCAACCGCACAUGCCCAUACCAGGCUUUAGAUCAAGAGCUGUUAUUGGGCACUUGCCUAUUCCUUUUACUCUUUUUGAGGACAUAUAAUUGCGCACCGUCCAAUUCAUUAGCCUAGAACUGAGUGCCCAAAAAUAUAAAAAACUCAUGAUCAAAUAGGUGGUGGUAUGCUGAACCUAACAAAUUUUCUGUUAAUGUGCCACCCAAUUCAUCACUUGUGGUUACUCGGUUGCACCCAAUUUCUCAUUAAUUUGCAAUCCACGCAUAACUCAACUGUGGUGUCCUCAACACCCCCAUUUCGUUAGAUUUGAUUCUGAAUUUUGUCUAUCAGAUUGAAUUGGUAACUAACUUUGAAAGUCAUAUGCGCAACUUGGCAUGCAAGAUCUGUCCCGAAGUAGGACCACGUACCCAUCAAGCUUUAUGGUUUUCAUAUCUAGCUAAGAAUUUUUUUAUAAUAAUAAUAAAAUAAAGGGGGGGAGUGGGGGAUGGAACAGAAGCUGAAGUAGUGGGUGGACCUCGUGCUUCUCGUGCCAUAUUUUGAAUAAAAUAUUCGUUGAACAGUUCUGGUGAUUUAAUAAUUGAAGAAUUGACCAGAGAAAAAAUGGGCAGAGACGAAAGAAGAAUGAGCUGUUGCAACUGUCCACUCGGUCUUUUAGUUAUUUAUCUGCAUCAAUCGGUUUUUUAAAAGGAAAAACAGACAUCCCUAUCCACGUAAUUAUUAUAAACAGAUAAUGAACAAGUGGAUUACAACUAACAAUGUAUUGAUGUUGGAUGUUUAUUAUAAUGAAGAUUAUUGAGUGAAUGAUUUGUGGAAGCAAACAAAAGUCCAUAGUUACGUCUGGAAUUAUAUUACAGUUGGCGAUGCCUCUUCUAGAAUUCAUUGCGUCUCGGCUAUGUAAGGCAAAUAUCAAAUGAAGGUCAUGUCAAAGCGUUGGAGUCACAUGCUUAAUGGCUACGACAUACUGGUCAAUGGGUCUGCAUCAACACCUUCAUUCAAGUUGACCCAUUUAAGAUUAGGGCAAAUUGAGCAAGUAAACGUGUUUUUAUUUCUUUAUUUAUUUAUCUUUUGACUGCUUCAAACCAAGGCACUACCCCUUCAAUUCAUUGCUCUGCCCAUUAAGUUCUAAUCUUAAAAAUCAAGCAAAUCCUAAUAUCUCUAAUUAAUUUGUCAAUUUAUCCACACACACAAAUUGAUUAAAAGAAAUCUGUACCAACUUUUGAAUAUCCUUGCUGAAGCUUAUAAUAGAACCCAUGCUGUUGUACUAAAGAGAAGAAAUACUAGUGCCACCAUAAAUCUUUCUAAAUAAGUCUUCUAAUAAUAAGUUGGACGACCCAAAAUACUCAUUACUCACUUAUUUUGAUGGAUCAUUUAAUUAUCUUAGUAGAGGAAAAAUAAUUUAAGCUCCGUUUGGUUAAUAUCUUUUAAAUUAAUUUUUUAUUUUCUUGAAAAUUUAUAUAUAUCUGACAAUAAGAUAAUAGCAAAAAAUAAAGUAUUUUUAGAAAAUAUUUUUUAAUUAAUUUUUUCUUAAUUUUGUUAUGAUUGUUUUAAAAAAUAAUUAUACAAAUAUUAAAAAAUAAAAAAUAAAACAUAACAUAUACUAAUUAUUUUUAAAAUACAUUCAAAAACAAAGAAACAAACAAAUAUUUGUUUUACAAAAUAAUAGAUAAUAAUUUUCAAAAAAGUAUUAUAAAAAAUUGUUUUUAAGAAUUAUUUUCAAAAUAGAUAUCAAAUAAGGUCUUAAACUUUGUUUUAUAACUAUUUUAAAACAAUUUUAUGUUUUUAAAAAAAAUAAAUUUCAAUUAACUAAAAAAAGGUUUUUUUGUUCUUAACAAGAAAAAAAUAUAUUCUUGAAAAAUAAUGGCAUAAAUAUAAAGAAUAAUUAAAAGUAAAUCAUUAUAUAUAAAAGUUAUUUUUAAAUAUAUUUAAAAAUAUAGAAAAUAAGUUUAAAAUAUUUUAAGUUUCAAAAUGCUUUUUAUUUUAUAAAACAUAAUGAUUUUUCAAAAAUUAUUUUUAAAAACUGUUUUAUAAAAUCAAAACAAAAUCAUAUCCUUUUUUUCGGAGAUCUCUAUCUUUUCUUUCCCAGCAGUCCCAAAAUUAUACCUAUGCUAUGCACCUGCCUUUUUAUACUACGCUUGUGCCCAAAAAUUAGUUCUAGCUAUUCCCAUCAAUGAACUGACAAAUCAACAAUAAAAAUGGCUCCAUGAGAGCCGGACAAAGUGGAGUCCACAGCAAUUGAGCUCAUUAAAAGUAGUGUGAAGUCUCUUUUGGUAGCUUUUUUUUUUUUUUUUUGAAAAAAAAAAAAUUGCCAUCUAAACAGUAAUUAAAAUGAUACCAUUUUAAUGCCGUUGGAAAAAAAUAUAAAAUAAAAGGGUAAAGUGUGAACGUAAUAAAAAGAAAUGCGUGAAGAAUAAGCAACGCGCCUCAGUUUUUGAAAUACGGGAUCCCGCUCCCCUUCUGUGGUUCCAUUUUAAAAUCUUCCCCAAUUUGGACCUAUGUUACCAAGAGAAAAAAAAAAAUGGCGUCCGGUAUAGGAAUGAUGGAUUCUGCAUGUUCUGUGAGUAGACCAUUCUUUCAGGGAUCAACUCGACUCUCAAGCUCAAAUCUUUCCAAAAUUGAAGAGGUUCCUUUUAAAUUUCUCUUCUUUUGUUUAGUUUCUUCUUUUGAGUAAAAAUUCUCACGGCAAUGAUGAGGGUUUCUACAGAUGGCUGAUGGUGCGAUUCCAUGUCAACUAAUGGAUCGAUGCUAUCCAUCUAGAUGUGCUGCCCAUGCGUAAGGUUAAUUUUGAGGCCAAGAAAAUAUAUAAAUGAGACGAACCAGAAUCACAAGGUCGUUGAAGAUGUUUCAGAUCACCAGAGAGGCUCGCUUCUCUUCUUUAUCCACGGAAUUGGGGUUUUCUUUCAACUUCACUGACUAUUUCAUUUGUUUGUUAAUUUUGAGUAUCAAGAAAACUAUAAUUUUAAAGGAAAAUCAAUUCAACUAAAGUCUUAUGCAAUUGUUUUAACUGAAUUGAGCUGAGUAUUUUCAUUUUGGUCGAUUAAGCCAUUACGCUUCUAAUUUCUUGUCCUCCUUUUAUUCCUCAUUUUUUUUCUCUCUCAUUGUAUAGGAUUCUUGCCUUCCUAUUUGACUCUCUGAUUUUUCCCGGUAUUUUGUUCUUUACGGCGUUUCGCAGAUGGAAGGAAGGCUUCUCCUCAAUUUGGAGUUCAUGCAGUGGAUGAAAAGUAAAUGUUAACAAGUAAUCCUUACCUCAUUGCUUUCUAAAUUUUCAGUUUAGUGGAAUUUUUUUAAUUUUCUCGUGUAGGAAGUGAGUGGUAUAUUGGUAGUUUUGAGCAUCAAUCCCGCACAUUUAUUACUUAAAAGGACCCAAUGAGGAAAGGCCAGGUUUUCUUUGUAUGAAAGCUAGCUAGCUCCUAGCUCCUAGCUCCUAAGCAAAGAAUAAAGGAAUUUAGGCAUGGACAGAAAAGACACUGUGAAAGGUCAGAAUGCUGUAUUGUUGAAAAUUUGAUAAAUCCAGCUGAUUGGCAUAGUUAUUUUUACUAUUUGAAGUACAGUAGGCGCUUGGCUUUUGGAAAAAAAGAACAUUAUGGAUAUCUGUUAAUAAUAAAUGUUUUGAGUUUCCAUGUUACUUGCAUUCCCUAGGAAAGGAAUGGACAACUCCUCAGACGUGCAAUACCUGCUGCUUAGAAUGAACACGCUCGCUGUCUAGUUGUUGUCAAUGAAAAAGAUAAAACGAAAAUGCCAGGGAAUCUUAGACGCGGUGUAAACAAGUUUGGACUAUUGAAUAUGUAUGAGAAGACUUACACCCAUAAACAAGUUUAUAGGCGAAAAUGUAGAAGUCGGUGGUGUCUUUUUUAGAGGUAUAAACAAAAUACCAUUGAUCACAUUUUUUAGAGGUAUAUUCAUGAAAAGUAUGGUGAAAUAAAGUAAUCUUACAUCAAAGGGUUACUUAUGAGAACUUUUUAAGCAUUUUGUAAAUUUUAAAGAAAACAUAGACGCGGACCUUUGAUCACAUUUCCAUAAUCCAACUAGAUGAGUAUACACUAUGAACUUGGACUUGACAUAGGCCCACAGGUGCAUAGGCCUCACUAGGCAGGUGUGAACUUGGGCUUAGCCCACGCCUACAUGCUUUGAGGCUUAAUUGAAAUAUCCACCAACAUGAAGUGGGGACUUUUCUCAAUAGUACAGCAAUUUAAAAAAGUUAUGCUUAAAUUACUGUACUGGCAGAAGUUAUUACAAAUAUAGGGUAGUUUUUGCCACAUAGGAGAGAGGAGAGAGGAGAGAGGGUGAGAGAAGAGAGGAAAGAGGAGAGAGGAGAGAGGAGAGAGGAGAGAGGGUGAGAGAGAGGAGAUAGGAGAGAGGGUGACUGUAAAAAAAAAGCAAACUCGUCUCUUGAAGAGACGAGUUCCAUGAAAGAAGAGAGGAAAGAGGAGAGAGGAGAGAGGAGACAGGAGAGAGGAGAGAGGAGAGAGGGUGUGUAAAAAAAAGUAAACUCGUCUCUUGAAGAGACGAGUUCCAUGAAAAAAGAGAGGAAAGAGGAGAGAGGAGAGAGGAGAGAGGGUGACUGUAAAAAAAAAGCAAACUCGUCUCUUGAAGAGACGAGUUCCAUGAAAGAAGAGAGGAAAGAGGAGAGAGGAGAGAGGAGAGAGGGUGAGAGAGAGGAGACAGGAGAGAGGAGAGAGGAGAGAGGGUGUGUAAAAAAAAGCAAACUCGUCUCUUCAAGAGACGAGUUCCAUGUAAAAAAAAAUAUAUUUUUUAUUUUAAAAAAUCCCAAAUUUAAAAAAAAAAAAAAAAAAUUCCAAAGGGAACUCGUCUCUUCAAGAGACGAGUUCCAUGUAAAAAAAAAAUUUUUUUAAAAAAAUAUAAUUUUUAUUUUAAAAAAUCCCAAAUUAAAAAAAAAAAAUAAAAUCCAAAGGGAACUCGUCUCUUCAAGAGACGAGUUCCAUGUAAAAAAAAAUAUAUUUUUAAAAAAAUAAAAAAUCCCAAAUUAAAAAAAAAAAAAAAAAAAACACACAAUUCCAAAGUGAAGAGACGAGUUCCAUGUAAAAAAAAAUAUAUUUUUUAAAAAAUAUAUUUUUUAUUUUAAAAAAUCCCAAAUUUUAAAAAAACAAAAAUAAAUUCCAAAGGGAACUCGUCUCUUGAAGAGACAAGUUCCAUGUAAAAAAAAAUAUAUUUUUUUAAAAAUAUAUAUAUUAAAAAAAAAAUCCCAAAUUAAAAAAAAAAAAAAAAAAAAAACACAAUUCCAAAGGGAACUCGUCUCUUCAAGAGACGAGUUCCAUGUAAAAAAAAUAUAUAUUUUUUAAAAAAUAUAUUUUUUAUUUUAAAAAAUCCCGAAUUAAAAAAAAAAAAAUUCCAAAGGGAACUCGUCUCUUCAAGAGACGAGUUCCAUGUAAAAAAAAAUAUUUUUUUAAAUAUAUAUAUAUUUAAAAAAAAAAAAAAAAAAAACAAUUCCUCAAAAUUUCUAACAGACGAGUUCUCAUCUAAAAAAAAAUAUUUUUUUUUUAAAUAUAAAAUUUCAAGAGACGAGUUCCUUUAGGAAAAAAAAUAUAUUUUUUAAAAAAUAUAUUUUUUAUUUUAAAAAAUAUAUUUUUUAUUUUAAAAAAUAUAUUUUUUAUUUUAAAAAAUCCCGAAUUAAAAAAAAAAAAAAAUUCCAAAGGGAACUCGUCUCUUCAAGAGACGAGUUCCAUGUAAAAAAAAAAUUAUUUUUUUAAAAAUAUAUAUAUAUUAAAAAAAAAAAUCCCAAAUUAAAAAAAAAAAAAAAAAAAAAAUUAAUUCCAAAGGGAACUCGUCUCUUCAAGAGACGAGUUCCCAUGUAAAAAAAAAUAUUUUUUUAAAUAUAUAUAUUUUUAAAAAAAAAAAAAAAAAAAAAAAAAAAAUUUCCCCAAAUUUCCAAACAGAGGGUUUCCCACCAAAAAAAAAAUUUUUUUUUUUAAUUAUAAAAUUUCAGGAAACGGUUUCCUUUGGAAAAAAAAAAAUAUUUUUUAAAAAAAAAUUUUUUAAUUUUAAAAAACCCCAAUAUAAAAAAAAAAAAAAANNNNNNNNNNNNNNNNNNNNNNNNNNNNNNNNNNNNNNNNNNNNNNNNNNNNNNNNNNNNNNNNNNNNNNNNNNNNNNNNNNNNNNNNNNNNNNNNNNNNAAAAAAAAAUAUUUUUUUUAAAAAUAAUAUAUAUUUNAAAAAAAAAAAAAAAAAAAAAAAAACAAUUCCUCAAAAUUCCUAACAGACGAGUUCUCAUUUAAAAAAAAAUAUUUUUUUUUAAAUAUAAAAUUUCAAGAGACGAGUUCCUUUAGGAAAAAAAAUAUAUUUUUUAAAAAAUAUAUUUUUUUUUUUAAAAAAUCCCGAAUUAAAAAAAAAAAAAAAAAAAUUCCAAAGGGAACUCGUCUCUUCAAGAGACGAGUUCCAUGUAAAAAAAAAAUUAUUUUUUUAAAAAUAUAUAUAUAUUAAAAAAAAAUCCCAAAUUAAAAAAAAAAAAAAUUAAUUCCAAAGGGAACUCGUCUCUUCAAGAGACGAGUUCCCAUGUAAAAAAAAAAAAUUUUUUUAAAUAUAUAUAUAUAUUUAAAUUAAAAAAAAAAAAAAAACAAUUCCUCAAAAUUCCUAACAGACGAGUUCUCAUCUAAAAAAAAAUAUUUUUUUUUUAAAUAUAAAAUUUCAAGAGACGAGUUCCUUUAGGAAAAAAAAUAUAUUUUUUAUUUUAAAAAAUCCCAAAUUUAAAAAAAAAAAAAAAUUCCAAAGGGAACUCGUCUCUUGAAGAGACGAGUUCCCUUUUUGAAAAUUUUUUGGGAUUUUUUUACAUGGAACUCGUCCCUGGAAGAGAGGAGUUUGCUUUUUUUUACCCACCCUCGCUCCCCUCUCCNNNNNNNNNNNNNNNNNNNNNNNNNNNNNNNNNNNNNNNNNNNNNNNNNNNNNNNNNNNNNNNNNNNNNNNNNNNNNNNNNNNNNNNNNNNNNNNNNNNNNNNNNNNNNNNNNNNNNNNNNNNNNNNNNNNNNNNNNNNNNNNNNNNNNNNNNNNNNNNNNNNNNNNNNNNNNNNNNNNNNNNNNNNNNNNNNNNNNNNNNNNNNNNNNNNNNNNNNNNNNNNNNNNNNNNNNNNNNNNNNNNNNNNNNNNNNNNNNNNNNNNNNNNNNNNNNNNNNNNNNNNNNNNNNNNNNNNNNNNNNNNNNNNNNNNNNNNAAAAAAAAAAUUUUUUUAAAUGUGUUUAUAUUUUUAAAUUAAAAAAAAAAAAAAAACAAUUCCUCAAAAUUCCUAACAGACGAGUUUUCAUUUAAAAAAAAAUAUUUUUUUUUUAAAUAUAAAAUUUCAAGAGACGAGUUCCUUUUGGAAAAAAAAUAUAUUUUUUAUUUUAAAAAAUCCCAAAUUUAAAAAAAAAAAAAAAUUCCAAAGGGAACUCGUCUCUUGAAGAGACGAGUUCCAUGUAAAAAAAAAUAUAUUUUUAAAAAAAUAUAUUUUUUAUUUUAAAAAAUCCCAAAUUUAAAAAAAAUAAAAAAAUAAAAUUCCAAAGGGAACUCGUCUCUUCAAGAGACGAGUUCCCUGUAAAAAAAAAUAUAUUUUUAAAAAAAUAUAUUUUUUAUUUUAAAAAAUCCCAAAUUAAAAAAAAAAAAAAAUCCAAAGGGAACUCGUCUCUUCAAGAGACGAGUUCCAUGUAAAAAAAAAAUAUUUUUUUAAAAAUAUAUAUAUUAAAAAAAAAAUCCCAAAUUAAAAAAAAAAAAAAAAAAAAAAACACACAAUUCCAAAGGGAACUCGUCUCUUGAAGAGACGAGUUCCAUGUAAAAAAAAAAUAUUUUUUAAAAAAUAUAUUUUUUAUUUAAAAAAAUCCCAAAGGAAACUCGUCUCUUGAAGAGACGAGUUCCAUGUAAAAAAAAUAUAUUUUUUUAAAAAUGUAUAUAUUAAAAAAAAAAUUCCCAAAUUAAAUAAAUAAAAAAAAAACACACAAUUCCAAAGGGAACUCGUCUCUUGAAUAGAGUUCGCUUGAUGAAUUGUUUUUUUAAAUAUUUUUUUUAAAAAAAAAUUUGUUUUUACGAACUCAUCUUAAAGAGACGAGUUCCCUUUAGGAAUUAUGAGGAAUUGUUUUUUUUUUAAAAUAUAUUUUUUUUUACAUGGAACUCGUCUCUUCAAGAGACGAGUUCCCUUUGGAAUUGUGUUUUUUUUUUUUUUUUUUUUUUUAAUUUGGGAUUUUUUUUUUAAUAUAUAUAUUUUUUAAAAAAUAUAUUUUUUUUUACAUGGAACUCGUCUCUUCACUUUGGAAUUGUGUGUUUUUUUUUUUUUUUUAAUUUGGGAUUUUUUUUUAAUAUAUAUAUUUUUUUAAAAAUAUAUUUUUUUUUACAUGGAACUCGUCUCUUGAAGAGACGAGUUCCCUUUGGAUUUUUUUUUUUUUUUUAAUUUGGGAUUUUUUAAAAUAAAAAUUAUAUUUUUUAAAAAAUAUUUUUUUUUUACAUGGAACUCGUCUCUUGAAAAGACGAGUUCCCUUUGGAAUUUUUUUUUUUUUUUUUUUUUUAAUUUGGGAUUUUUUAAAAAAAAAAAAAAAUUUUUUUUUACAUGGAACUCGUCUCUUGAAGAGACGAGUUCCCUUUUUGAAAAUUUUUUGGGAUUUUUUUACAUGGAACUCGUCUCUUGAAGAGACGAGUUUGCUUUUUUUUACACACCCUCUCUCCUCUCUCCUCUCUCCUCUCUCCUGUCUCCUCUCUCUCACCCUCUCUCCUCUCUCCUCUCUCCUCUUUCCUCUCUUCUUUCAUGGAACUCGUCUCUUCAAGAGACGAGUUUGCUUUUUUUUUACAGUCACCCUCUCUCCUCUCUCCUCUCUCCUCUUUCCUCUCUUCUUUCAUGGAACUCGUCUCUUCAAGAGACGAGUUUGCUUUUUUUUACACACCCUCUCUCCUCUCUCCUCUCUCCUGUCUCCUCUCUCUCACCCUCUCUCCUCUCUCCUCUCUCCUCUUUCCUCUCUUCUUUCAUGGAACUCGUCUCUUCAAGAGACGAGUUUGCUUUUUUUUUACAGUCACCCUCUCUCCUCUCUCCUCUCUCCUAUCUCCUCUCUCUCACCCUCUCUCCUCUCUCCUCUUUCCUCUCUUCUCUCACCCUCUCUCUUCUCUCCUCUUUCCUCUCUCCUCUCUCCUAUGUGGCAAAAACUACCCUAUAUUUGUAAUAACUUCUGCCAGUACAGUAAUUUAAGCAUAACUUUUUUAAAUUGCUGUACUAUUGAGAAAAGUCCCAUGAAGUGGUCUUUUUGAGGCAUGUUUACACCUCAGAACGACAAAUUCGUUUUAAAAACAUAAAAUCAAACUUUAACUCCGAUUAAUCUUAUUUGUGUUUUUUAAUUUUUAUGUACUUAAUUUAUUUAUUUUACACACUUGUUAGUCAUCACUUGACAUAUUCACAACAAGGAGAGUUAGAUUGAUAAAAAAAACAAAGAAAUGGUUUUUUUUUUUUAUCAAUUUUUCUUAAAUUUUUUCUUUUGACUUGAAAAAUAUAAAACACUUGCAUUCAAAUGACAAAUCAAAAUAUGAUUUUCAAAAUAUUUCUUUAAAGUUGGUUUAUGCAUAACAAAAAAUUACUAAUGUCAAUUGUUUUCAAGGUAAACAUAUCAUUUUUUUUUUUGGUACGGGUCCCUAAAAAAAUCAAUUAGGUAAUCUUUGAUACCCAUAUAUUUUAAGGCUCUAGAGGGUUAAUCUUUUUUUUUUUUUUCUUUUAGAAUCUAAAAUAAUUUAAAAUUUUGAACAACAUGAAAGGAUUUUCUUAAAGGACAAGCACUACAAAUAUAAUGUCAUCUUUUACAAAAAUUAUAGAUGGUGAAUAAACUAUUGUUAGAUUUUUCUUUCAUAAAAUAGUUCUUAAACUAUUUUUUUGUUCUUGAAAGGCUUCUAGUUUAUCUUUUUUUUUCUUUUUUUUUUCUUUUUUGUAUCAAAAAUGCAUUUUUAGUUAGCAAGAAUCACAUCAAAAUAUUUUUGUCCAAUAAAUAAUUUUGUUAAAAAGGAUGUUAAUCAUUCAUUAUUUUUUUUUAACUCAUCAUUUUUGUUAGGAAUAUUAGGCUAAUCCAACCUAUGGUAAUCACCUUAGAGGGAGGUGAAUAGGGUGAUGGUCUCUUUUCGUAAAUUUAAACUAUAUGAAUGAAGAGACAAUUAUAUACAAGUAUAUAAUAAGCAAUAUAAAGACAAUUGCAUAUAAAUUAAAGAAUAGGGAAGAGAGAAUGCAAACACAAGAGUUUAUAGUGGUUUGGCGCAACCCAGUCUACAUCCACUCUCUUCUAACAUUAAUCCUGAGCUUCAGGUUCCACUAAUCCAAGGCUUCCAAACCAAGUCUUCAAGCAAUACAAUUGGAUUAUGGUUCCAAUUCACCCUUUUAGACUUUUGGCUCCAAACACCCUUUACACUUCUCAAGAGAUAUCCCACUCUUAAACAACCCCUCAAGUGAUACCCCCACACUUGAGAAACUUCCUCUCAAAGAUUUACAAAUGAAUGAUCUUUAAAAAAUCAUAGUACAAAAACUUUAAGCUUAAAUGAUACAAGAAAAACUAGGAUUGAAUGGUGCACUAAGGAUAUGCAAGUUGUAGAACAAUGGUGCACUCAAAAACACUCUUCCAAGGCUCAAAUAUAAUCAAGAAAGGUUUGUGAAGGUUAAAACUUAUAAAACAAUGAAGAUUGGAGUUUUUUUAUAAAAAAAAAAAAUGCAAACUAGCUAUUGGGGGUUCGACCGGUUGACUAGCCAUUAGCAUUUAAUGCUUGGCGAGUGACUGUUGAGCCUCAAUCGGACCUCAACCAGACCUCAACCGGUUGAGGUUCAACCUUGACCGGGAAGAAAGACCACUAGAAGAGAUAAACUUUUUGGCUUCCUUCACCGGUCCUCGACCGGACGAGCACAACCAGUCGACCGAUUGAAUCAGUUGAGCCAUUUUUUGGCUCAACACCCAACCUUUUUCAACUUAAAACCUUUUAACACAAGUUUGAAAAUCAUUUAACACAAGGUUUUAGUUGAAAACAUGAAAUCAUCCAAUUUUUAAGAUAUUUAAAGCAAUAUUACUCUUGAAUUAUUUUGGUGCAUAAAUAAAGAAUGAAAUGCAUGAAAGUCCUAGUGCACCAACAACCUUACAAAGAGAUCUUAUGAAGCUUUGGUCUUGAAAAACUCUUCUCUUUGAGGUGAUCUUCUUCUUCAUGAUUUCUCCUUGGCUUGAUUUGUCUUUGUGAUUGCCACUUUGGAAAUCAUCUUGCCUAAUCACACUUGAAAUAUGAUCAUUAGUUCUAAACCUUGUUUUGUUAUCAUCAAAAUUAAGAUUAAUCAAACCUUGGUUUCACAAUUUUCUUCUUCAAAUGAUGUUUUUACCUUCUUAAUAUUUUCAAAAUUUUCUUUGAGCUUAAUCAUUGAACUUAUUUUCAAGAGAAUAAAUUUUCUUCUUGAGAAAGGUAUUUUUCAAAAUCAAGGUAUAAUUCUUCAAAGAUAUUUUGUAAUUCAUCAUUUAUAGUUGAAGAAUUUAGUUCAUCUUCAUGGUCUUCCAAAGCCAUGAAACACAUAUUGACCACUUCAUCUUCAUUUUUCUAUUUGGAUGAUUCCAUGAUUCCGUGUCACUUUCACUCCAAGUGACAACCAUGACUUUCUUCUUCUUUUUUGCACUUUUGGACUCUUUCUUUGAAUAAAUCUUUAUUCCCUUGAUCUUUCAAUACUUGAUAUACUUUCUGAAUUAUUGGUGAUGAUAUCAACAUCCAUCUUCACUUUCCUCAUCUUCCUCAUCAAUUAUGGAAACUAUGAAUGCCAUUUUUUUUCUUCAACUUCUUGAUAAUUACUCAUAUUUAUUUCAUGAGUCAUGAGUAAUCUAAUAAGUUCUUGAAGUGGGAGCUUGGUGAGAUUUUUGUCUUCUUGGAUUAUGGUCAUCUUAUCUUUCCAAUUUUUUUUGGUAAAAACCUCAAAAUCUUCAUGACUUUCUUUAUUUUGGUGUAAGUUUUUCCUAAGGCUUGAAAAUGGUGCCUAUAAACCUAGUGAAUAUUCAACUAAUUUUUCAAUAGCCUUCAUAGUAAAUACCUAAGGAUGUUGAUUUUAGACUACAUGAGUAAUUUCUAAGAGUUUCCAUAUGGCUUUGGUGGUUUCACAUUGAGAGGUCAUAUUAUAUUCACUUCUAUCUAAUACACAAUGGAGAUAACAUAUAACUUUAACAUUUAGUUGUGUAUUUAUCUCUUCAAACACAAUCCAUUAAUGACUUGGCUUGGGAAAUAUCAUUCCAUUUAUAAAUGGUUCUUGAAAGAUUUUUUUUUUUUAGGUCUUUUCCUACUUGAUUUUUCUUUAACUUAAUUUAUCUUUAUGAUAAUCAUUUUCUUGUUACCUAAGUGCACUUAAGAUAAACCAUUAUAUGCAAACAUUGUUUUGUUAUCAUAAAAACCAUGACUAACCAAACCUUUGCUUCAUAAGAGGUUUAUUUAUUUAUUUUAUUAUUAUUUAUUUAUUUUUAACUUUUAUCUUAUUAGAAAAAGUCAAAUUUUUUUUUCAAAUUUUUUCUUUUUCAAACUUUAACUUUGUUAUGAGACUUAAACUCAAUUUCUUAUAUAAAAUAAUCCAAAUUUAUUUUAAAAACUUUGAAUAAUUAUUGUCUUAAAAAUGAAUUGAACUACCUCAAUUUUAUGUAAUAUGGAUGAAUUUACUAUAAGUUAACAAAUUUAUUAUCAAAAAAAGGCUAACUACAACUAAAAUAGAUUCAUUUGUUUCUUAAAAAAAAAUUAAAAUCUUAAAUAUUUUUAUAAAUUAUUAUUCAAAAACAAAAUCAAUUGUAUAAAAAUAACUUAAUUUAAAUAAAAAAAUAAAUACACAAAAUUCUAAAAUUAAAACUAAAAAUCUAUUGCAUGGAGUCUUUAUUUUUAUUUUAUAUUCUUAAUAAAAUUGAAUUUCAUAAAUCUCUAUAGAUUCCUCUAUUAAAAAUGAAAAAAAAUAUAUUCAAGUUAUAAAAUUUGGAUCAUAAAUGAAUUUAUUAAAAAAAAAUUAAAUUUCAUCCACUUACCCAUGUAACAAAAGCAAAAUAAACUAUUAUGGAUUCGAAUGAUUUUUUUUGUUCAUUUAGAAUUUCAAAACAUAAUUUAUACAUAUCUAAAUAUCUGGUAGAAUAGAAACAAUAGGUUUAAUAAUUAAUAGCAUAAAAAAAUAACAUAAAUGCUUAAUAACAUUCAAUUUUAUUUAGACUUAAAUCAAAUUUAAUUUUUUUUUUUAAGAGAAAAGCCAACACUUUGCUAUUGAAGUAGAGAGAGGGGUGAGAAUUCAACAGAAACAUGGUUAUUAGUGCAAAAUUGAUAAAUUGAAAUUAAGUUUUUUUGCAUUAAAGGGACACAAAGAACGUUUUGUAAAGUAAACGUGUUAGAGGAAGUAGGUAUGGUGGUAGAAUCGGUAUGUGUGAUGGGAAGGGUCAAUCCAUCGUCGAUCAUGAUAUCAUCAAAUCCUUGAUACGGGCUAUAAAGAGAGAGAUCACUCAAGUCAGACGCAACGUGGUGAGAUGCUCUACUAUCUAGCAGCCAAGUGGGAGUAGUGUUGUUGCUGAGAACAACAUGAUUGGCUCGUGGUUGCCAGGGUGUGGAGGGGUGAUAUCCCUGAGUGCUUUGAGGACAAGGUGUCGGGGAUUGUUGAUUAGUGACAAGCCGAAACAUUGGGCUUCGCUUAGCAGUGUGUCUUUGAAUACCACAUGCUUGACAAUGACCUAAAUAAGGUUUGGGUUGGCGUUGAUUAUGAGAAAACUCAGUAGUAGAGCCUGGUUGUUGUGGAGUGGUGGCUGGUGGACGCUAAUUUGGACGAUUUUGGAAGGCUGUAGGAUUUGUCGUUGCUAGUAGUGAUAGAGGAGAUGGUUGAGUGGUCUGAAAAGAUGCUUCUUUGUUGAGAAGUUUCUCAUGGAGCUUAGCAAAAGAAAUUGACGUGUCACGGACAUUAAUUACAUUAAUGACAAAUUUGUACUCAUCACUUAGUCAUUCAAGAACCCGAUCAAUAAGAUCCUUAUCAUCAAUUGGCUUCCCCAAAAGGGCAAGUUUAUCGGCAUGAGUUUUUAUCGCCUGCAUAUAUUCACUAAUUGAUUUUGAGCCCUUGGUACACUGCUUUAAUUGUUCAUUCAAUUGUUUAAUAUGAACACGAGAUGGUUUGGCAUGGGUAUUGACUAAGGUUUGUCAUGCAUCAAGGGAAAUGGUGGUGUAGGCAAUGAUCGGUUGUAGUGAAACGGAGAUAGCACCAAGGAGAGCGCUAAAGAUGAGACGAUCCUGACGCUUUUAGGUUGUGUAUGCCGGAUUUGGGGAUGCAAUACCAGUGACGGUGACAGUGGGUGGUGGUGGAGUAUGAGCAUCAUCAAUGAAGUGAUAAAGAUCAUAACCUUUAAGAAGAUAUUGGAUUUGAAUGCUCCAUGUGAGAUAAUUGGUGGAUGACAAUUUGGUGAUAUUGGAGAGAUUGAUUAUAAGAGGGGGAUGUUGAGGAUCUUGGGAGUUUUGGAUGGUGAUAGGAUCGUUGGUGGAAGAUUGGGCUCUUGAAUGUUGAAGUAGAGAGAGGAUUAUUGAGAAACAAUGAUUUGACUUUUCCAUUAAUUAAGAAUGAAUAUAUAUACACAAAACUUAAAACACAAAAAUAGGAAACAAUCCUAAAAUUUGGAGACUACAACAAAAAUAGGAAACAAUCCUAGAAUUAGGAAAUUACAACAAAAAUAGGAAGUUACAACUAAUUACAAGAAUUUGAAAAUAGAAAGAAAAUAUAUUGUAAUGAAUUUUCUAAUAUGUGCAAGUAAAUAAUGACAUACACUUUUGAUAAUGAAUAAUAUACAAAAAAAAAAGUGAAAGGAUAUAUAAAGUCCGUUUGAUAAUGAUUUUAAAAAGUAUUUUUAGAGUGUGAUUGGAAAAUAUUCUAAAAAGCGUUUUUAGUAUUUUUAACACUUAAAUAAUAAAAAGUUUUAAGUAUUAAAAAUAUUAAAAAUGAUUCUUAAAAUUACUACCAAACGAACUUUUAGUAUUUUUGAAAAAAAAAAUUAAAUGUUUGAUAAAUUUAAAAAACAUGAAAAACCACUUAUAGAAUUGAAAAAUCAUUUGUAAUGUUUUUUUUUUUUUUUAGAGAAAAACUUGAUUCUCCUAAAAAGACUUCUAUGAAAACCACCAACGCACUCAUAGUACAACGAGGCUACUUUCUAUGUUCCUUAUUGAUAUUGAAUAGAAUUUGGAGAAUGAGCAGUUUCUCAAUUCAAUCUAUUGGAUUCUAAAUAUAUUACAUUUGUCUAUGGUAGGACAUUACAAAGAUGGACUGGGAUUUAUGAUGUGUCAAUUGCCAAGCAUACCUUAAGUCACUUGAUUGAUGUCAACUUUAUGAUAAACAUGACAUUGGAAGCUCUAUACUUUCAGAUCCAAACCUUCCUCUUUUCAAUUCUUUAAUUGAAAAAUAAUGAUGAGGUUAUGGAGAUAAAUGUCCUUUUUUCAUACCAAGCGAAGUGAUCAUGUGGGUACACAUGCCCACUUGGUGUUUAAUUAUUGGGACUCUUCACCUGCCGGUCAAAAUGGUCCCUUUGGACCAUAUAUAUUAUUUGGAAAUAUUUUGAUAAAAUAGUCUCUUUGAUACCACCGAGGAAACUGAAAGAGUCAUUGUAUUUAUUUUAUUAUUGUUUUUUUAAAUAAGUUUGAAAUUAUCUUUUAAAGUUCUGAUUUCUGAAAAGGAAGAAAUCAUUAUGCCUUUAGUAAGAAUAUAAAAAUUAUUUUUUAUGUAUUUAUUUUAUAAUUUUAAAUUAACAAUAAAUUAACCACAUAUAUAAGAUAUGUGUGUUACAGUCAUAUAUAAGUUGUUUUGUUCCUUAAUUCGAAAAGAUGUCCAAGUCGUUAAUUUCAAUCGAGGGGACAACUUCACCAGAAAGUCGGGCCUCCUAGUUACGGCAGAUGUGUCGGUCCAUAUAUAAAGAAAUAAUAUUUUUUCUAUUUUAUAUAUAUAUAUAUAUAUAUUGGAAGCCAUCUGGUAAAGUGUCUUGCGUUGAAGAUGGUGUAAGAAGAGAGAGGGGACUCCAGUUUGCUGCAUUAAGCCGCAAAGUGAGGGACACAGAAAAGAAUGGGGUCCUUGUCGUUGGUGCUAAUUCUUCUGUCUCACGCCUGCGCUGUGAGUGCUUCAGAUUCGCGUCUCCACAAUGAUAACAUAUUUAUCCUGGCCGGACAGAGCAACAUGGCUGGACGCGGUGGCGUUAUUAACGGAACCUGGGAUGGAAUUGUCCCUUCCGAAUGCCAACCCAACCCAUCCAUCCUCCGACUCACUGCCGGACUCACAUGGGUGGAAGCUCGAGAACCCCUCCACGCUGACAUUGAUACAAACAAGACAUGUGGGAUUGGACCUGGGAUGGCCUUUGCCAAUGCCGUGUUGAGGGACCCUGCCUUUGGGAUUGUGGGCCUGGUUCCUUGCGCCGUCGGUGCGACCAACAUAAGCGAGUGGUCUCGCGGGACUUAUCUUUACACCCAGUUGGUGAGGAGAGCAAAGGCGUCCCUGCAGCAUGGUGGAAAGAUUCGAGCUCUUCUCUGGUAUCAAGGAGAGAGCGAUUCUAAGAGUCCAGAGUAUGCUAAGUCCUACAAGGGUAAAUUGGAGAAAUUCAUCCUGGACCUGCGCACUGAUCUGCGGUCUCCUAUGCUACCAGUGAUCCAGGCAUUGCCUCUUUUCCUUUUUAAAACGUUUUAUGAUUUACUUUGAUUUAACAUCGAUAGAGACCUUAGGUGAGGCGCUCAAUGCUGCCUAUUCUAAUGCGAAACUUUAGCAUAAAUUGAGGCCAAAUUUUAUUAUUUUAUCCUGUCUUUAAAAUAAGUUUGGGGAAGCAUCCAAAUGAGGGUGGGAGCCAAAGUCUGAAGGCCUUAGCAAGUGGGUUUUCCUCCAGAUCUCAAGCAUCCUCUAGUCAUAUUGAUCAGGAUACUUUUCUUGGAUACCCUAUCAGUUCUUCCUGGGUUAUCAUGCAAUAUACAAAAGGGGCAAAUUCAAUCAAAAAAUCAGUUGGAAACUCAUUAUAGGGAUAUCUUAGGACUCUGUGUAGGGAAGAUUCUGUUUUUGGGAAAGAACGUAUAAAAGGAAAUCCGAAUUUGUAAAAUCUAAUUUUAAUAUGUUUAAUGAAAAGGAUUACUUUGAUCACUUAGGUUUUACCUUUUUAAUGACACGGGUAUUAAUUUUGACUUAAAUGGGUACUAUUUUGGGGAGAAUUAUUUUUGAAAGAGUUUUCUUUUUUUCUUUUAUUUAUUUUUUUCCCAAUGUGAGUAUGGGCCGGUUCAUGUCUGCAACAAGGAGACUUAGUUGUUGGCCAAACGAGCAACAAACGGAUCCGUUCAGGCAAAGAAAAAGCAUUGGACCGUCUGCAUUUUUAUUUUCUCUCGCUUAUUUACUUAAUCACUCGCUUUAAAAUUCAACCGUGUUAUAACUUAUACGUAUGAUAGCUGGCUUCUCUGAAAUCACCUAAAGAAUGUUGAUUGUUUUAUGGGGCAGGUGGCUCUAGCAUCAGGAGGACCAUUUAUAAAGAUAGUGAGAGAAGCUCAGCUGGGAGUUGACCUUCCCAACGUGACAUGCGUGGACGCCAUGGGACUGCCCCUAGAACCUGAUGGAAUACACCUCACCACCCCGGCCCAGGUUCGACUUGGAAAGAGGUUGGCCAGUGCUUUCCUUCAGACCGUGCCCACGCCCAUUAGCAAUAAUACUUCCAAAAGGUUUUCCUCUUUCAUUUCUAAUUCUGUUAUGGAUCCAUUAUUUAGAUUUACCCUAAUGAUCCUAACCAUCCCAUUGUCUUACAUGAUGUAAGCCAUAUCAAUGCCUAACAUUCUUUGACAUCAAAUUCUUGUCCAAUUUGGAAAAACUGUGUUAUGUAUGGAAUUUUUUUUUUUCCAACAAAUUAACAUUGCUCCAUGUACUAAAUUUGAUUUAUUCAACGUAUUUGGCCCAAUUUUACACAAAUAUUCAAAAUUCUAAAACCAUCUAAACAAACCAUUACAUAAUCCUUUUGAGAUAUUUGUGGUCCUUGGAGUAUCAUAUUCUAUUACCAUUCUAAAUAUAUCCUUGCAUAAUCCUUAAUAUGCAUAAUAUGCCUUAGCCCUUUCGUGCCAAGUAGGUUACAUCUUGUAGGUAGAUUAGCUUCUUAAUCUGUGUCUUGAAAUACAACAUUUUCUAUGUUAGCAUGACUUCUACACGAGUACAAAGUAGUAAUUUCCUCAUCAGUAAGCCUCUUACCUCAUACCUCACAAUGAUAGCCCAUGCACCUCAUGUAGUUGUUGACAUAGUUGGCAUCCUUUCUACCAUGAGGAACAUAAGGGAAAGGACAUCCACCUUGGAUGUUCCAUACGUGGCAACACCUUUUUCAACUAUGCCCUUUUAGCACAUAGCUAUAUUUGGGCGAGGUGCUCUCUAAGGGUCUAUUAAAAUCAGCUUUAAAGAUAUUAGAUUUGUAGAGUUAUUUAUUUAAUUGCAAACAUUUUUGGAAACACGUCUAAUAGAGGGAUAAGAAAAAUUGAUCUUAUUGUGGCCUCAAUGGACAACUUUUAUAUGGUGUGAAGGUGGACUUCUUGACCUAAGUCAAAGGCAAUGUCCCUAAAUUUCCUAUAUUCCAUGGCUAUCCUAGAGAAGAGAGCACCUUGUGUAGUUUAUUAUUAGAGGUAAAAUGAAAACUAUUCUAAUCUUUACUAUACAACUAAAGAAUUGGUUAAAGAAUUGAAGAAGAUAGAUGAGAUUUAUUUACUUUUAUAAAGAAAAGAGAUGUGCUUUAGAGAGACCCAUGUAUAAGGAGAUUGUUAGAGUUGUUAUGAUGGACGAUAAUAUACUUGAGACCAUUUAUGAAUGAGAUCUUAUAAAAGUUUCUUGAGUUGAGGAAUUUCCCAAGCUUGGUAAACUAUUAGUGACAACCCAUUAAGGAAACUCAAUACGAGAGCAAUAAAAUACUAUUAAAUGAGAAAAAAAAAUGUGAAAAUGAAAAGAGAAGUAUCAAGAAACUCGCACUAUUAAACUACAAUAAGCUCUUUGAAGUAAACACUACUGUCUCAAACUUCAUUUUAUAAUCAAUAAAAAUCAAAUAUGAAACAACAUGGAACAACAUUAUGAGGUCUAAGAAAAGGAUAAGCAUGUUGUUGUCCAUUGAUGGAGCAUAUAGAGGUACCAUUUGCUAAAAACUUAUUCUUACCACUAGCUACUUCUAGACAUAGACAAGGUUGAGUCCCAGGCAAACAUGAUAGUAAUAGGACUUCUUGGUAAAGUUUGAUUACUUCUUUUUAUUAUAAGUCUAUUAGAGUUAAUUAGGUAAUUGACACCCCUGCGAGGUAUAAAUUGUUUCCUUAAGUAGUAGUGCGAUAUUCUAUAUUAGUUAAGAGAAUAAGGGUUUGUUUGGUUAUUGUUUUUUAAAACUAUUUUAAAAUAUACUUUUUAAAAACAAUUUUUGUAUUUUCGAAAAAAAAAAUGUAUUUUGGAAUUGAAUUCUAUAAAACAAUUUUUGUUUUAAAAAAAAAUGUUUGGUUGAGUUAAUAAAAAAAGUUUUUUAGAAUAAAUAAAACAAAAAACACGUUUGAAAGUUUUUUUUUUCUUCAAUUAACUUGAUAUUGUAAGUAUAUAAAUAAUUUUUAAAUUCACAUUUUAUUUAAAUUUUAAAAAUUAUUCUAAAAUUUAUUUACACUAAUUAUAAUUUUUGUUAAUUUUUAGCAGAUAAAUAUGAAGAUGGAGUAUUGAUAUAGAUAAAUAAUUUUUAUUAACUUUUAACAAGGUAAAUAUUAAUAUGGAGUAUGAUAUAGAUAAUAAUUUUUAUUAAAUUUUAGCUGAUAAAUAUGAACCUAGACAAAUAUAUCUACCAACAUAUAAGGAAGAAAAAUCACUCAAUUUUGAUUUGGUUCCUCUUCCAUACCCACAUCCCGUCACACUAUUUGCCCCAUCUUUUCUCUACAUUUUCCCCAUCCUCCCUCCAUCCAAAUAACCUUUUCUUUUUUCUUAUCCCAUUUAAUAAUAAUAAUAAUAAUAAAUUUCUUCUUCUUCUUCCUUUUUCUUUCCCAUUCCAAUCAAUAGUUACUGCUCACGCUCCCACCAUCCAGCAACUGACAUUGCUUCCAUCUUUGGAAACCUCACAACACCACUCCUUUCCACCUUGCUGUCAUGCGUUGUCGCUCACGGCAUCUCUAUCAUGGCCUUGCCCUUCAAAGCAUUGCACUGUAUUAGACACCUUUCACAUCCACAAUCAUGGCAAGACCACCAUGGUCUUGGUCAUUGCCCCUGGUAACCAAUAUGGUUGCCAUCUUCAUCCUCCAUGACCUUUAUUUUGUGUUGCUAGAGGAGAAACCAUAUGUAAGGAAACAUAAAAAACAAGUAAAGAAAACACGGAGAGUAGCUAUUCUAUGAACAGUAAAGAAAACAACCAAAACAUAUUUUCUUUAUUAUAUGAAAAAAGACCUUUUGAGAACACGGGAAGCACAAAAAAAAAACAAAAAUCACCUCAUCAUGUUUUCAGUAUUUUUUGUUUUCAAGAACAAAAAAUAGCAACCAAACAGGCCCUAAAUUUCUAGUAUAUAACAAUUUUCUUUAAUUGAAUAGACAUGUUUUAUAGUCUUGAAGAUCUUUUGGGUUCACAAGGAAUAAUAUCUAUGCAAAGAGAGCAUAUUGUUAUAAAAUGUAUCUAAGUAAAUCCCCACUCUUGAUAUCUAACCCUGAAAUAGAUAUUUGUCUGUUUGACUAGCACCACAAUCUUGUACCAUAGUCCUAUAAAAUUCAAUAAAGAUAUAUUUGUAUUAAGAGGGUGAUAUUCCAUAUCAAUUAAGUAAAAAAGUUUAUAACACUAUAUAUUUAGUAAGAUUUACUUAGUUGGAUAGACACAUUUUAAAACUAUAAUAAUACAUUAAGUUUAAAUAGAUGAUAUCUACACAUGAAGUAGCAAACCAUUACAAAUAAACCCUAGGGUGAGUUUAUUGAUCUCUUAAAUGACGGAUUGUAGCAUGCUCCUUUAUUUAAAAACCCUAUUGAAAUAAAAUAGUUUAAUGUAAAGGACAUCCAAGGUAGACAAGGAAAAUGUACAAAAAAGGCCACUAGGUUGAUUCACACUUACUAAUGGAUGAAAUUGAGGCAAGCUUGUCUUGUAUACCAAUAGGAUAAGUUGGAACAAAAAUUGCUUGAAGGGUUACUAGAAUCAUUAUUAUGCUUGAACAACCAUGGGAAAGUUUGAUUAUGGACUUCAUUAUCACCUAAGUCAAAACGGUAUAGAUUUAAUCAUAGUAAUCGGUGAUCGCCCAAGCAUGCUACAUUUAUAGUGGGUUCAAUUAUAGUGCAGAUACAAAAAAAAAACAUGGUUAUUCUUAAAGAACAUAAUAAAUAAUAGGGGAUGCCUAUGUUUAUCAUCAGUGAUCUAAAGCCUCACACUACCAGAUAUUUUGGAUACUUGAUUUUGCAAUUGACAUACAAUAUUUUAGUGGAUUGUCAUAAUCUUAUUUUAAACUCUAGUUAUAUGUCAUUAUGACAAGGUUUGAAGAUGUAUUUUCCUUGGACUAAAGAUUCUACCAGUUACCUGACAUGAAUACUCACUAUGGGUUACCUUUCUUUAUUGAACAUUUUUCAGGUGGGGAGCUUGAGUUUAAGGAUGUUGAGUCCUCAUUGUUUAGGAGGUUCGAUUUUUUAGUAUAGUGCAAUGAUUGACUUGGGUAUUGCUCAGUUUGAGCUUAGCUUCGUACAUAUAGUCCUUUAUUUUAGUUAAUUUUUAUGUUUCUCAUUGGCUUAGUACCUCUAGUUUAAUGGAACUUUCUCCAAUUAAGUACACACUCAAAUUAUGUUUCGUAUUUGUUUCUAUAGUGUUUUUUUUUCCAUUAGUUUUUAUUUCUUCAAUUAUUUAUUCACUUACAACUUUGGAAGAACUUUCUUGAACUAGUGAAAUUAAAAGAAUCACAAAUAACUAUAGCCACAAUUUCGAUUACACUAUUAAGACUGACAUAAAUAAGUUUUUUAUAACUAACAAUUAUUAUGGAGUUUUUGUUUAAAUUUUAGUAAAUCAUAUUAUCAUUAAGGUUGUAACCUGAACGGGUUGGUUCGACCCAACUCAAACCUAGCUUGAUGUUUAGACAGAUUUGGACAAAUAUUUUCAAUACUCCGGUUGAGUUUGAGUUAAAUUUUCAAACAACCCAAGCCUAUCACAAACCUUAUUUAAUGUUUUUAUAAUAUUUACAAUGUUUAUUAUCAUAAUUAAUAAUAUUUAUUUUCUUUUUAGAUUUUAAAGAAAAAAUUCAAUUAUAAUUAUAUUAUUUUUUCAUGUUUUUUAUUUUUAUUUUAUUAUUAUUAUUUGAAAUUUUAUCUUAUUUACUAUUUGAAUUUUGGUAUAAAUAUGUAUAAAUAAAUUUUUUUUUCUAAACUACUAUAUAUAGAUUUUGAAUCAUAUAACCCGAUUAACUUGAGUUUAACCUAAUUAAUCCAAAUUUAACCUAACCAACUCGAGUUUAACUCAUUUGUUGGUGCGACUUACUCCCCAUGAGGCAACUUUAUGAUUUUUCAAGUUAAAAGAGCUUCGGACCAAUUCGAAACAAAAAUAAAUAGAUACGUAAUUCCAAUGAAAGGAACCCAAGAACCAUAUUUUUCUCCAAUUUGAAUUUUGCUAAUGUUUUGAAUGAAUUCAAGAACAUAUUCAAAGAAAUUCUUACUGUCAAUAGAAUGAUUUGUGGAUUUGGAAUAGAUAAAAUAACUGAACCUAAUAAGACAACGAUUACAACCCAUGAAGUAAUAAGUACUUGGGCAUGAACUUGAAAACUUGAAAUUUUACCUGAAUUUAGAAAAAUGAGGUUAAAUUGAGUACCUUGAGUUAAAAGUCUAGUUGGAUUAAAUUAAGGUUGAUUGUUUCUUAAUUAAGAACCGGCUUUGGGCUUAAUUAUCAUAAUCUUACUUGUAUGCUUUUAUUAUUAUUGGAAACCCUUCUUAAAUCGUUUUAUUUGUAUUUUCAUUUAUCCCUAGUCCCAACCUUCAUUCAAAUUUAGGUUGACAAGUAUUUUCGAUCUCAAACCAUGGGAAUCCCUUUGAUUCAUUGCGUCACUAUUUGAUUAUCACAAUAUAUAUAUAUAUAUAUAUAUAUUAUUAGUUUGUGUGAAUUUUGGUGUUGUUUUUACUUAAAACAAUUCACUUUCAAAGAAGAAAACCUGUAAUAUUUUCCUAGAUUCCACUCUUAAGUAUAAAGUUUGCCUUUUAAAAAGACUAUUUGAUUUUUGACUUAAAAAUAGUUUGAGACUAAGCACUCUUUUUUAUUUUAUUAUUGAUCAAAAGAUUUUUAAACACUUAAUACUACGUUAGGUUGAUAAGAUAGAAUAAGAUAAGAUAUGUAUAUCGUAAAAUAUCAUAUCUCAUUUGAUAGGAAAUAUAUAUAAUAUGAUAUGAUAUUCUAAUAUAGCAUGUCAAAUGAGUUAUAUUAUGUUUAUAUUUAAUUUAUGAAAUAAAUAAAAAUAAUAAUAUGAAAUAUAUAUUAUUUUUAAUGUUUAAAAUUAAAAUUAUAUUAUAUUCCAAUAUUUUCUAUUUAAAAAAUUGAAAUUUAUCUUAUAUUUAACAAUAUUCAUUAUUAAAAUAUUUAAACUUUAUAAAUAUUUUUUUAUGUUAUGUUAUUCAAUAUAUAAAAAUAAUUUAUAUAUUAUAUAUUAAUAUAUGUUUAUAAUUUUUUUUAGUUUUAUUUUUUAACCAUAAAUUUAAUUUACAAUAAAAAAAUUAUUUUAUAAAAUGAGUAUAUAAAAAUAAAAUAAAAACUAAUUAAAAAAAAGUUUAUAAUAAUAUACAUAUCUCAUGACAUAAUAUGAAAUUAACAUAUCUCAUGUAAAACAAGUAAAAAUAAGAAGGUGGAUAAUAUAUCACACUACUUAUUCUAUCUUAUGUUUAGUUGAACAUAGGAUAAAAUAAGUGAUGGAAUAAUCUUAUCUCCAACCAAAUAUGAGAUAUGAUAUAAUAUCCGUUUUUUUAUCUUAUCUCAUAUUAUAUCUAAUCAACAAAACAUGACCUAUACUAUUAAAAAGAAAAAUUUUAAAUUUUUUUACCUCAAUUCUUUUUAUCAUUUUUCUUAUUUUUUUGAAAUUUGAAUAAAAGAUUCAAAAAGAAAUUUAUUAUAAACCCAAAAAAAAAAAAAAAAACCAUUGCAUCAGCUAGAAGGGAAACGUGGUCUCUUAUUUGUUGACACAAUUCCAUGAUUUGUGUCUAGGACUAUAGUCAUGUUUGAUUAGGAAUCUGCCUAUUCAACAUGACUAGCAUAACAUAAUCAUUUGAGCUAUUGAGAUAAGUUGGGUCAAAACUCAUUAGAAAACAUAAUUUAACUAUAAACCAAAGACUUACUUUUACAAGACUAAUCGUUUGAAUCAUAUGUGUGUGUGGGCAAGACGAGGAGUGGCCGGGAAAAAGGGUGCCUAGGUAUUGACAAUAAUGGUUGGAUUAGGAAAGGAGGCGGAGCGGGACAUUACUAUUGCCAUCCGAUUAACUUUGUACGACCAGCAGAGGAGUAUCCAGGUAAGUGGGGCCAGAUCCGAGUCAAAAGAAGGAUAAAGAAAAACGUACAAUAAUUAUGACCCAUGACCAUCAUCAAUGAUAUAAUUUUGUCACAAGGGAAAGAAAAUUACUUUUUCUAAAUCCUUCUCUCUAUUUUAAGAAAAGCUUUAAACAUUUUUCAUCUUUUCAUUAAUUUUUUGAGUUUGCCUUUAGUUAUUACUAAAAAAAAAAAAUCACUUUUACUAUGUAUUUUCCUUUCCUCUUCGAUAGGUUAAAUUUGUGUCUAUAAGAGGAUUUAUACUUGGACUGGGGAUCUUAGUAGAUAUUUGAAUGAUUUUGAACUCUUUUUAACCCUAGUUGGAAGCAGUAUAAAUAGAUUGGAUUAUUUUAGAUAUGGUUUAAUUGCGAAGAGUCCGGGGUGAUAUUCUGUGUUGGAGGAGAGUUCAUUAAAAUGGAGGCCCAAGUUCGUUGCAGUAGAAGCACUAAAACCAUGUCGACAACCUGGCUUUUAAGGUUAUUUUGUACGUUGUUGGCUGUAUCGUAUUCGUAUCCCGAGUUUGGUAGGGCAUUAGAAGCACCCAAGGACAUCUUUAUUCUGGCAGGUCAAAGCAACAUGGCCGGUAGAGGAGGUGUUCGCCAUGGCAAGUGGGAUGGGAACGUGCCACCAGAGUGCAGACCUAACCCAUCCAUCCUCCGACUCAAUCCUCAACUCCAAUGGGAAGAGGCACACGAGCCGCUUCACACAGGCAUCGGCCCUCCAAAGACUCAAGGGGUGGGACCCGGCUUGGCGUUUGCCAAUGAGAUCCGAGCCAAAGGUUCCAUGGUUGGGGUUGUGGGACUGGUGCCUUGUGCGGUUGGGGGAACUAAAAUAAGUGCAUGGGCGCGUGGGACGACGCUGUACAAUGAAUUGGUGAGACGAACGAAGGCCUCCGUGAGUGGAGGAGGACAGCUCCGAGCCAUUCUGUGGUAUCAAGGAGAGAGUGAUACAGUGAGAUCUGAAGAUGCAGAGGCGUACAAGGGCAACUUGGAAAAGCUUAUCAUAGACUUGCGCUCUGAUCUUAGUCACCCCACUCUCCUCUUCAUCCAGGUCUCUCCCUACUUUCCUUAUUUCGUUUAAUUCACAGGUUUUAAUUUUUACAUAUUUAAGUUUAUUGAUAUCCUAAACAUAAAUUGAUUAUUAAUUAUAUAAUAUUAGGAUUGAUUUCAAUGAGAGCAAUGAGGCUCAGUAUAAACAUACUAAGCCACUAAUAUUAAAUUUAGUAAGUUAAAACACCUAUAUUUUAUAUAUAAAUUUUAUUUUUUUAAAGAAUAAAACUUAAUUUUAAAGAAUUUUUAAAUACUCUUAUCAUAUAUAUUUUUAUUUAAAAUAUUUCUAAAAAAUAAAUCUGAUAAAUAAAAUAAAAUUAUAAGAGUGUUAAUUAAAAAAAUUUGAAACCAAUAAUAAUUGAGUACAUUUACAUCAACCCUAGGGAGUCUCGAUGAAAUUAACCUAUAUAUAGAAAAAAGAUAAUUUGAUUAUUAUAAUCAAAUGACUUGAAUUAUUAAAUAAAUAAAAAUUUAAUGUUUGUGCUAAAAUCUAAUAACUAAUCAUGAUUUGAUUCUAGCACCAAUAUAAUAAGGUUAGGAUGAAUUGUAUUUCAAAAAUCUUUGGUUAUAAAUCUUAGAUCAAUUAAUUACAUAAUUGCCCUAAUCAUUUAGGUGGGACAAUGUCACAAUAGUUAUAAUUUAUAAUUAUAAUAACUAUUAAAUGGUAUAAAAUUACCUUUUAAUAUUAUUUAUACUCUAUAUAUGUUCAUAACUUUAAAUAACAUUUAAAAGGCUAACUUGUGAUCAAAAAACAAAACAAAACAGGAACUCUUCUAUUAUAGGCGGACUGAGAUUUUUGUUAGGGGGUAAGAGAAAAAUAUUAUAUUAAAGUCAUCAUUUAUGAAUUGUAAGAUAAGUAGUGGUAUUAAUUAUUAUUAUUAAAAAAUUAAAUAAUUUUAAAUAUUAAAGUAAACAAUUAUAUCUUUUGGUCUCAUUGUCUUACCAUUUAAUCUUAUUUAUUUAUAUUUUAAUUUCAUUCUUUGUGCAGAUUUAAAGUUUUUUCAUUAUAUUAAUAGUUGAUUAUAUUCUUGAGGCCAAACAAAAAUAUAAAUAAUUACUAAGAAUUUAACCAUUUUUUUUUAUGCGGUUAAGCUAAUCAUAAAAAAUAAGUAUAAGAAAGAAAAAAAUUGAAUGAACUAAAAAUAAUAAGUACCAAUAUUAAAUAAGAUUUUAUUUAUUUUUUAAAUUUUAAUUCAAUUAUAAUAUAUUAUUAGUAAUUAAUAGUACAUAUCAGUUUUUUGGUAGCAAUAUUUGGUUACCGUUAUUUUUUUAUUUAAAAAUUUUUAAAAUUAAAUUUAUACCCCCGAGUUUUGGUUCCGCCUGUGCUUCAUAUACUUUUACUAUAAAUAACCAUAGUAAUUAAUUCUAGAGUAGACAACACAUUAAUUUAAAAAUAAUAACUUUAUGAAUUUUAAUGGAUGGUAUAAAACCAAUUUUAAGAUUUAAGUAUUGCCCUUACAGACAUUCAGGUCAAUUAUGCUCAUCAGAAUUAUAGUCCAAUUGAUAAAGAUUUUGAGAAAUGUUUCUAAUAUUUCUAAUAUUUAAAAAAUAAAAAACUUCAAAUAUAAAAAAAAAUUAAAAACAUUUUUUAAAAUCAUUGUCAAACAUAUUUUUAUUGUUGUAAUGUCCGUAUUUAUAAUGCUGAUUUUGUCUAUAAAGUUAUAGAAAGAAAUGAUUUAGACUCCAUGGUAAACCAAAUGCAACCUUAAUUUCUUAUUUUAAGCCUUACAGUAUGUAGCCUGAAACUUACGCCAGAAAAUUAAUUUUCCAUUUUGGAUCAAGGCAUUGAGGUGCAUCUGCCUUGAUUUUGAUCAUGCAAUAAAAUUGAUGGACUGUGGGAAUGGGUGGACAGGUGGCACUUGGAUCGGGGGAAGGCAAAUUUAUAGAGACAGUGAGGAGAGGUCAGCUGGGAAUCAGGUUACCAAAUGUGAAGUGCGUAGACGCCAAGGGACUGAGGCUUGAACCAGAUAAACUUCACCUCACUACAAUUGCUCAGAUCCACCUCGCUCAGAAGUUGGCUGCUGCCUUUCUUUCUGGUGAUCAAUCAUGAAUCAUGAGGAGUCACAACCCUUUUAAUCUAAAUUAGUUAUAGACAUUUACCAUAUUACAGCAAUUAAUAAAGACGCUUUUGCAAAUUAGAUAUUGAAUAUCAGCUUGUUUUGCCCUCCACUGAGACUUGUUCUACCCUAUACAUGAACUCCUGAACUUACCCCCUUUUAAGCGGCUUAAAAGUGGGCAAGUUCAGGAUAAAGAAACAAAUAUUUUGUAAACAGUGAUUUAUUGUUCGUAUUUCUUUUCUCCCAACAUACCUUUUCCACAAGGUUUACAAAGGAGUCAUGAAUAUGAAAUGUUACUUUAACCCUUUGCAUGUAUCAGAACAAAAUUUACAAGAAGAUUAAAACACAAAAGAUAAGGUUUUGUUUUGGUAAUUGUUUUGUUUUACAAAAAUAAAAAUAAAUAAAGUGUUUUAAAAAAUAUUUUUAAAAUUGUUUUGAGUUAUGUGAAAUCAAGGUUUGACUAAUCUUGAUUUUUAUGAUAACAAAAUAAGGUAUGAUACUAAUGAUACAUUUCAAGUCAAGUAAAAUAAUUUCCAAAAUGACAAUUAUAUGGACCAAGUUAAGUAAAAGGAAAUCAACAAAGAAGAUGAAACCUCAAAUAAAAGAGCCUUCAAAGCAUUUUAUAGGAUUUCUUCUAUGAUUGUUGGCAUACAAGGUUUUUCUAUAUUUUAUUUUAUUUUUUUUACUAAAAAUUAUUUAAGAGUAUUUUGUUUAAAAUCUUUUAUAAUUAGAUGAUUUUUUAUUCUCAACUAAAACCUUGUACUAAAUACUUUUUAAAACUUGUUUAAAAGGUUCUGAGUUAAAAAAGAUAGUUGUUGAGCCAAAAAAUGUCUAGUUGGUUAAUAGUGAAUUGAACUAAUUUGACCAAUUGGGAAAUCGGUCAAAGAGUGCAAAAUUUUCUCUCUUCUAAAAGGGUUGUCUUUUUGGUCGAGUAAAACCCUUUCCCGGUCGAGGGUAUCCCUUUCCUAGUCAAGGUCCAGUUGAACCUUAAUGGUCACCUACAAAAGCAUUAAAUAUCCAAGGACUAGUCAACCAAUCAAUCAAAGCUUGAUCGAAAAAAGCCUUUAAUAUGAAUAACGACUAGUUUAGGUUUCUCUUCCAUAUUUAAAGACUUCAAUCUUCAUUAUUUUAAAAGAGUUUAACAUUCUUAAAUCUUUUUUGAAUAUAUUUGAGUUUUGGGGAAAUGUUUUUUAAUGUACCUUGUUUUAAAACUUGCAUAUCAUUAUUAGUGUACCAUUUAAUUCUAAUUUGUCUUGUAUCAUUUGAGCUUAAAUUUUGUACUAAGAUUUUGAGAAAAUAUUUCCUAUUUUUAUUUAUAAAUCUUUGAAAAAAAAAUGUAAAGUAUCACUUAAAGAUUCUCAAAUAUGGAAUAUUACUUGAAAUAUUGUUCAAGAGUAAAGUAUCUCGCAAAGAUUAUAAAUGGUGUUUUAAGCUGAAAGUCGGUUGAUUGGAAUCAUAAUCCAAUUAUAUUACUUGAAGGUUUAGUUUGAAAGUUUUAGAUUAGUAAAACCUUAAGCUUGAGAUUGAAGUUAGAGGAAAGUAAAUGUAAGUCGAGUUGCACCAAACUAUCAUAAAAAUAUUGUAUUUGUAUUCUCUCUUUCGUAAUCUCUUUAAUUUACAUGUAGUUAUUUUUCAUUAUAUCUAUUAUAUAUUUACAUAUAAUUCUUUCUUAUAUUCAUAUAGUUUAUUUUUAUGAAAUUAAACCAUCACAUAUUGUUGUUAUACUGAUUUUUUUUAUCUAACCUGUUCUAAAAUUUUUCCUUAGUAUUUAUACAUUUUCUUAAUACACGUGUCAUCUUCUCAAUAGUCUAGAUCAAAACAGUUUACAACAAAAAAUACUGUCUUAAUUCUUGUAAUUGAAUUCAUGUCGAGAUAAUUUUCUAUGUGUUUUUAUGAACAUAGAUAAAUUUUUCCUUUUUCUAAAAAAAAAAGAGUAAUGCUGGAAUGAUUUUAUCUUUUUAUGCUGCAACACCUUUUAAGGAAUGCACUUUGAUUUUUCCUUUCUUUUAUGGAAAUCACAAGUCUUUUUAAAUAAAAAUAUAUAAAAAAACAAUUAUUUAACCAAACUUUGGAAUAAAAAAAAGGAAAAUCCAAAUUAAAAUGAUAAUAAUAUUUUCAAAAAAUUUAAUUAUUUGUUACGGUCAUUUGCAUGAUUUUAAUGAUGUGAAACAACUGCGGAAAGUAGGAAAGCAUAACACAUGCAUUUCAUUAUUUUAUUUCUUAAAGCAAAAAAACAUUUUUUAUAUUUGAAUUUUGAAAUGGAGUUUUGUUACCACAAACAAUAAGUCAAUAACAACUAUGUGGGAAGAAUAUUUUUUGAGAUUGGAUUUGUGGAAUGUGUUUUUGACUUUUUGUAUAGAAUUAUUUUUGAAAAUCCGAUUUUUUUAGUUUAGGGGCGUGUCACAUUUUUUUAAUUAAUCAAGACGCACCGUAAAGCCAGGAAAUAUCACGUGUCAUUCUAAUAGUUCCUCCAAUCCUGGAGACUGCGGGGAGUGCUAAGAAGUGGAAAUGGCGGCUUCUUGUUCCACCAAUCUCAUCAGCUUCCCACCAUCUCUGAGAAAGUCAACAUCGCCGUCCUAUUCUCUCUCAUGGCAAGCAUCUCUCCCUUCCACCGUCUCCUUCGCCGUCGGCCGUCGGGUCUCUUCCAGAACAACCAAGUCGUUGGUGGUGGUUGUGACGGCCAUGAUGGAAGCAAAGCCCACGGUCCUCGUCGCAGAGAAGCUCGGAGAAGCGGGUCUCGAACUCCUCAAGGGCUUCGCCAACGUUGACUGCUCUUAUAAUAUGAGCCCCGAGGAGCUUUGUACCAAGAUCUCACUGUGCGACGCCUUAAUCGUCAGGAGCGGCACUAAGGUUACUCGUGAGGUGUUCGAGUCCGCCGGCCGUCGCCUCAAGGUUGUCGGACGGGCUGGCGUUGGUAUUGAUAACGUUGACCUUUCGGCCGCCACGGAGCAUGGAUGUCUUGUUGUUAAUGCCCCAACAGCUAAUACUAUUGCGGCUGCUGAGCAUGGGGUUGCUCUUCUAACUGCUAUGGCGCGUAACAUCGCCCAAGCGGACGCUUCUGUCAAAGCCGGUCUGUGAUCUCCCUUUAAGAUAUUUACGGCAUUUUCUUUUAUUCGGACAUUUUUUCGAGCAGUUCGCCUACGUUGGUUAUUAACUCUGUUGUGGUCGUCUUUUUUUUAGCAAUUCAUGAUAUAUCUUAUCCAUUAUGUUGUACGGUCAAGAAAAACUCUAAACCUGAUUGCUAGUUUAUGAUUAUUUGGCUGUAAUUUAUAGAGCUCGAAUUGGGAAGGUGAUUAGUGAUCUCAAAUCUUGUAAUUACAGGGUGUGUGGAAUAUUGAUUGUCUGUUUUCUGUACAAUGAUAUAUAAUAAAUUUCCAGUUUUAAAAUAUGAAUUUAAUCAGCCUUGAACAGAAUGAAAUAAUGGGCAGUGGUGUGACAUUGGAAUAACUUAGAAGAGCUAUUCAGGGAGGGAGGGGUGGGCGGGGUGGUGGUAUCCACAAUUUCUGCUAUCACAAUUCAAAAUAAGUGCACUGACUUGAAGCCAGGUCUGUCUCUCACUUUCAGUAAAUCAUUCAUGCUAGGCACCUAAUAUUUGUUCAUAUUGGUUGGAUGCUUACCAUCUGACUCAGCCUAUUAUUUUUUUUUAAGAAAAUCCUGUUGGGACUUCAGCUUUAUGUUGUUUGCAAUGAUUGAAGCCCUUAUUAGUGUAGUGGGCUUUUGAUCCGUGCAGGGAAGUGGGAAAGGAGUAAGUAUGUAGGUGUGUCACUUGUUGGAAAAACCCUUGCUGUGAUGGGAUUUGGAAAGGUUGGAUCAGAAGUUGCUCGGCGAGCUAAGGGGCUUGGCAUGCAUGUGAUUGCACAUGAUCCAUAUGCCCCAGCAGACAGAGCCCGGGCAAUUGGUGUGAAUUUAGUGACCUUUGAAGAAGCCAUAUCAACUGCAGAUUUUAUUUCAUUGCACAUGCCUCUCACUCCUGCUACAUCCAAGAUUCUCAAUGAUGAGUCCUUUUCAAGGAUGAAGAAAGGAGUUCGGAUAGUCAAUGUCGCUCGUGGUGGUGUGAUUGAUGAGGAAGCUCUAAUAAGGGCCUUGGAUUCAGGGAUUGUCGCUCAGGUUCUUAUUUUUUUGUAAUCAAUAACACUUUAUUAAUACAACCCUGGAGGCAAGUAGUGAUAAUUUCCAUUUCUUACAGGCAGCGCUUGAUGUGUUCACUGAAGAACCUCCACCAAAAGAUAGUAAGUUGGUGCAGCAUGAAAAUGUGACUGUUACUCCACAUCUUGGUGCCAGCACAACGGAGGCACAGGUGGGUUGGUCUACCUCUGCUUGUCUAUAGUCAUGCCUCAUUUACUUAUCUUUUCUAGUUUUCUAGUGUUACAAUGCCGGCUUGUUGCAAUUAGGAAGGAGUGGCCAUUGAAAUAGCUGAAGCUGUUGUUGGGGCUCUAAAAGGGGAGCUUGCUGCUACUGCAGUAAAUGCACCCAUGGUUCCUGCUGAGGUAUUUUCUUAAUUCAUCCUUCGUUACUGUGUCCUGCAGCAUCUUCUGUUGGGUAGUGAAUGUUUGAAUGCUAAUCUGAUUCCACAUGUAAUAAUUUAUUCAUGAUAUUGAGUUGGGAAACAUUCAUAUACCCUGAAUAAUAGCUAGCAGAAAGUUUUCAACUCCCUUUAUGUGAAUUCAGUUCCCUUCUACAUUUGAUUGUCAUGACGAUAUUUGUAUGUAUUAAAAUCCCUUUACGCAUGUAUAGUCUUCAAAUGUUAUGUUGGACAAACUCAAAAGGUUUUCUUUUAUUACACAGGUUUUAUCCGCACUUGCGCCAUUUGUUGUUCUGGCAGAGAAGCUUGGCCGCCUGGCUGUGCAACUGGUUGCAGGUGGAAGUGGUGUGAGAUCAGUGAAGGUGACAUAUGCCUCUUCCCGGGGUCCAGAUGAUCUUGACACUCGCUUGUUGCGUGCUAUGGUCACCAAGGGUCUAAUUGAGCCUAUUUCCAGCGUUUUUGUGAACUUGGUGAAUGCUGACUUCACUGCCAAGCAGAGAGGACUGAGGAUAACAGAAGAAAGAGUGGUGCUAGAUGGCUCACCGGAGAACCCGCUUGAGUUUAUCCAGGUACAAAUUGCUAACGUGGAGUCGAAAUUUGCCAGUGCUAUCUCGGAGUCUGGUGAGAUUAAAGUGGAAGGAAGGGUGAAAGAUGGGAAACCUCAUCUGACCAAAGUUGGAUCAUUUGGGGUGGAUGUGAGUCUGGAAGGGAGCCUCAUUCUGUUGAGGCAUGUUGAUCAACCUGGUAUAAUUGGAAAGGUGGGAAGCAUCCUGGGUGAGGAGAACGUCAAUGUGAGUUUCAUGAGUGUUGGGAGGACUGCACCACGAAAACAGGCUGUAAUGACAAUUGGUGUAGAUGAGGAGCCCAGCAGGGAAGCAUUAACAAGAAUUGGGAAUCUACCAGCCAUUGAAGAGUUUGUUUUCCUCGAGUUGUAGAACAAGCUUGAAUUUGCUAUCCAAAUUUCUGAGACGUUGCUUAAUUACUGUUCAAAAUUUCCCAUGUUGUGUGAAGAUUUUUUAUUUUUUCCCCCUUUUCGGUGAGUAUUAAAAUGGAUGCCUUUCAUCCAGUUUUAUCCACUUCCGCAUUGACUUGUAACUUGGAACCAUUAAUUUGUGAUAGCUUUAAUUAGCUUCCUGAAUGCCCAUUACGUUUUAGUAAAAGAGCUGUAUUUUCCAAUUACUCCAGCUUAUAUAUUGAAACUAAAACAAUUUAUGCAAAAAGAGCAGCAGGUCAGAAAGUGAACAUGAAUAUAAUGAAGUAUUUAUUAGAAAAACCACGAAUAAGAACGCGUAUAAAUGAGAUAUCAUCCAGGUGUCCUCUUGUUUGAGAUGCCAGGCCAUGAUGCAGCCAGGGUUUGCCACGACAUACACCACCCGUCCAUAUCCAGCUGAUGGCUCCACCUAUAUUUGCCAGGAUUCAUAUGCACGCUUGAUGAGAGAAAGAUCAGGAGACCCGCAUCCAUCAGUGGCACCGCAAGAAUCAACCAUGUACACUUCAAAAGUAUUGGGAUUGAUCCAUCUUUGUGCUGUUCCUUUUGUUUAUCUAUUUCAUUAAUUAUUUCGUAUUUCUUUUUUCUUUAAAAUGAAUUUUGGUGGAAAAUGCUUGCAGGGAACUGAAGAGGUAAACCUAGAAGGAGCAGCGGAGAUAAAGGUGGAGACGGUAGAUCACCAGUCACCAGCAGGCAAGGACCAAGCACCGAAGCAGGAGCACGUGCAGGUGAUUCACGAGCCUCAUGAUGAUGGAGGUUCUGGCACCGGCGCUGGAGGAAGCGUCUUAGCAAGUGCAUCUGCUGUAGUAGCGCACGCUUUCCAAUCAGCAAAAGAUGCCAUCUCCGGUAACAAAUCCACGAAAUGACUGGUAUUCUCGUGUUACCUCAACACGUUUGUUUCACCGAACACUUGAAAUUAAAAUAAAGUUUAACAUUAAGGCCAUGUUCAAUCCAUGAUGCAGAUCUAUUGAGGAUCACUGUUUUGGGAAAAUAGCACUCUUAUUCCUUCCGCAAUAAAAUGGGGUUUUUCUUAAUUGAAUUGCAUUUUUUUUUUCCUCCUGUUUAAUGAGAAGUUUGUGUGAUUCUUUAUUCUUAAAAAAGGGGAGUUCAGAUUUCUCUAAUGGCUGAAAUUAAAAUUUUAAGGCCAUAGAAUCGCUUUCAUGUUGCGAUUUCACCACCAAGCAUGCUACUCCAGCAUAUAGAAAAGGGGAUUUUAAAUUGAGUAAAGGUAAGCAAUAAUUCCUAUGUGAACAAAGAAAUGACCUUCAAAGCAGAGCCCUCGAAUCCCACUGUACCGUGAUUUGAGUCAUUUGACUUCAACAAAAGCUGAGUGCGCAUGCUUUAUGGACAGAAGUCAGUACUAGCUUUGCUUCUCUUCAUGUAUCCAGAGAUGGUUCCCACGUGCCUAUUCUCAUUGAUUAAUCCCUAUUUCGUUAGCUUAGUGAGGAUCCUGUUCAAUAUAGUUAUUUCAAAAUGAUUUAGUUUUUCAUUCCCAUUAGAUAUUUCAUAAGCAAGAUUUAUACAUUUUUAAAUUACAACUAAUAUUAACAAUUAAUCAAAGAAAAAUAAGAAUAAAAUAAUAGUAUUAUAUUUUCCAUAUCUUACCCUAUCAAAAAAAAGAAAAAAAAAGAAAAAAGAUGAUUCUUUUCUUAUUGUUUUAUUUUUAAAAUAGAAAUUUAUAAGUUAAAUAUAAGAAUUUCUAUAAAAGUAAAUAAACAAAAACUUAGACGCUAUUUUCGAAAACAAUUUUUAAAAAAACAGUUUUUUAGAAUAAUUGUAAAUAAAUUAUUUUUAAAAUAUAAACCAUAAACCAUACUCUGCCUUUUGUUCCUUUUUUGGGGGGUUAGAAUAUUUAUCUAUUAUUCUUUAUAUGAAUUCUGAUAUUUUAUAUAAUAAAAAAAUUAUUAUUAACAAAAUAAAAAUAUAUCCUAACAUGCACUAAACUUUUUUAUUUCAAUGUCAUGAAAUUAAAUUAUUUCAUUUGGCUUCAAAUACAUGCGGUAAAAGAAUUACCUGUUGCCCUUUUGUGCUGCCAUUGCCAGUGUGGAAGUCCUCCACUUCCCUUAAUCAGCUUGUUGAGGAACGUGUUUGACUAUAUAGGGCAGCACAUGGAAAGCAGGGUAAGUACGUUGCAGCAUUGAAACUCAUCACAUUAAUUUUCAAUGGCAGCCGCUGAAAGAGCAGCGAAAAAAUAAUGUAUGUCUUGUCACUUGUGUUAUCAAACAUAACAUCAUAACGCAUGCUUUGCAUAUGUUUCUGUAAAGGAAAUCCACUGAGGUGUCAGAAAUUCGAAGGGAAAGUGAAGUAGAGUGAGAAGUGAAAAAAGUAGCGAAAGUGAGAAUUUAAGAGAGUAGGAAAAUUUUCUUACCCAUUUUUUAAUUGUUUUCCUUGCCUCUCAUCUUCAGGGAAAUGGAUUUGAUUUAUGUUGAUUUCAUCUCGACAAAUUAAGAUCAUCAAAUCAAUUUUAAAAUACUCGAUAUUGGGAAGCUCAAUUCCAUCAUCGAGAUACAAUAACUCGAUGACACCUUUAAGAGGAUGUCGAAAAUCUUUUGAUCACAAGACUAUGGGAGAGGAAACAUCUUUCUGACGAGUAAUGAAACAAGGUAACACGGGAAUAUAUAUCCAGAGAAAGAAGGCUUAAUACUCAAUUAACUCACUGUCAUGUCAUAGCAAAGCUAUAUUAUAAGUAAUCCAUAUAGAUUUUAUAAAAUUAAAUAAUCCCGGCAUGGUAUAUUCUCUAAUAUAAUUUGAAAAUGGAAUUUGUAUUAUAUAUGUUUAUACAUAUUAUAAAUUGAAAUUAUAUACUUUCAUAAUUCAUGGAAAUAUUAUUGAAAAUGGAAAUUAAAGUUCUUCAUAACAAUUUUAUAAUUGAAAUUAUAAGUGGGAAGCCCAUAUGUUGCCAUCCAAUGAAUAUUUUUUGGACAUAGUCGAUGCUGGAAGCUUGUUCCAAUGAAAUUAUAAAAGAGGACAGUGGAUGGAGCCCACGGCAUUGCCCAGGGAAACCAACUUCUGUGACAUCAGACAAAUUAAAUAUGCCACAGGCGCUACGAAUUCAAUCAAUUUUCAUGGGUCCGCACAAACUCCCCCUUCCUGAAACACCUGAUAUUUGGUCAACACAAGAGCGACAAGAUUGGUAAUGCCUUUCACUUGAAACAACCAUCAGGCCUUGGUACCACGAAAAUUGGGCGAUUUUCGAUUUUUUCAAUUUAUUUGAUGUGGUUUAAUACCUAAUAUUACACCUUAUUGAGAUGAAAUUAAGCAUCUUCAUUGAUCGAACCACAGCGUAAGCUUAUUCCCAGAUACCAACUUCCAUGAACCCAUCUUCAGUGGCACAGCCCCUAAACAUUCCAGUGGUGUUAAACCCGUAGGCAACCUCACCAUUUCUUGAAACCGCAAUCAUUCCAGCCAUCCCUUCAUCAAGCCUCUCUUUGAUGACAAAGUCCACAGCCUCUUGGAGGCCUAAGCCCUUGUAUUCCAUCACAGCCGCCACAUCACGAGACAGGGUUCCGCGAAUAAUGGCCUCUCCUUCUCCAGUGCAAGACACACCACAAAGUUCACCGGCGUAGGUCCCCGCCCCGAUCAAAGGCGAGUCACCGAUCCGACCGCUCAUUUUAUUCAUGAGGCCACCGGUGGAAGUUCCCGCAGCGCAUCGCCCUUGUCCGUCCACUACAACGCACCCCACCGUUUCUGGCGCAUAGACGCUGAUAGGAAGACCAUUCAUCUGCAACGCGGCUUCCACAGAUGCUGCACCCGCGCUGCAUGUCUCCAAUCCAACGGUUGGGAUCCUGUAAUCGAACUGAUCCAGCACCACACAGGCUUAAGAUUUACUGCUUCACCCACAUAGAUCAUAGAUAUGUACAUAAUGAUGAGAUCCGACGUACCAGGAUGCUGUUGGCUUCUUUCGCUAAUUUCAACAUCCCCACGUUUUCCUCCGUGAUAAAGUAUUGGUUAUCCACCAGCGCCACACCCUAAAAAACCCACUGUCAAUAUAUCACAACGCGUGUGCACUAAUUUGCACACAUGUCCAUAGGUGUGCUAAGGCAGCUCUCUUUUCAGGCCAAGUUGGAAGAAAAUGCCAAAAUGGGAAACUCACCUGUCGCCGGGCAAAUUCCUCAGCGCCAGCGAAAGCCAUGUAGGAAUGGGGAGACUUGUCCAUGACAAGGCGGGCCAGUGAUAUGGGGUUCUUCACCGUAGUCAGACCCGAUACGGCUCCGCAUCUCCUUUUGGGGCCGUCCAUGAUGCUGGCUUCCAUCUCCACCGUUCCAUUUUCAGUCAGGGCUGACCCACGCCCUGAGUUAAACAGGGGGUCACUCUCCAGUUCUCGCACCUGUCACACGACACAUCAAAACACAAGAUGAACACCUAUAUCUUCCAUUCUGGUUCUCAAUUCCAGACGUCGUUUGACAAUGGCCAAAUUAAUUCCUUUAUGCGUUGUUUUUUUGGUCCGAGAGAUAACGUAAAUGGAAAACGCAGAAUAACAAGGUGAAAAAGAAAAACCUACAACUAGUUCGACGACAUCUAUGGCAGGAAGAGAGGAGCGAAGAGCAGAGAUGCCGAGAUUGAGACAGCGAGUGAGGAGUUGUUUUGCUUCCUCUUGACGCUGGGGUGGGAGAUUUGGGUCAACACCAGCACCUCCAUGGACCGCAAUUGCCCAGCCACCCAUGACUCUCUGCCUCGCUCUCUUGCUCCCUAACUCUUUAAUUUGUCUCGGUUUGUGUGUACCCUCGAGGGAGUUGGCUAUUUAUAGGCGCCUCCGGAACCCAAAUAUCAUUGAGCUGGAUUUUAAUAGUCAAGUGGAUUCCAAUAUUCCAUCUGGAGCUGCCCACUUGAUGCGAAAGGUUUUACCGAAGGCAACGUUCCGUGUUUCAAUUUAACGUUAUUUCCACCGGACUCCCCUGUGUCACACUGUCACUGAAUGCCGUCCUAUACACAGAUUCUAAUAUCAUGUGUCAGAUGACAAAAUUACUCAUAUUUGCACGGAAUUCAAAACAAAAAGAUAUGUCCUCUACAUCUCAAUUGCUUUGAACAUCACACAGACAGAUAUAGCCGCAACUCUUAAACUAGUUUAGUUUUUUACCCCUCUUCCUCCAACAAAUUUUUUAUUUUUAUUUGUCCCUACGUUCACCGUUAGACGAAAAAAAAAAAACAAAAGGAACAAAUCCCACAAAACAUUUAAAGAAAAGGCCAUUAGCAUCCAAUUAUUAAAAUCAUUAUUUUUUUCAUAUCUUUUAUUAAAUUUACUUCUAUUUUUAAUUAUAAAAAAAUAGCGUUAAAUGGUAUUUUAUUUAAUUGAAUAAAAAAAUGGCAUGACUAAAUUUCCACCAAAAUUUAGGAAAUUCCAUUUUAAUUAUAAUAAUAUUUUAUUUAAUAAUGAUGAAUAAUAAAAUAUAAUAUCAUUUUGACAUGUAUGAAUAAUAAGGGAAUUAUGAGAGGAUAUCUCUGGAUGCUUUUUUUUUUCUUAAUUCAUAAAAUUUAAAUGUUUAUGUAAUUUAGAUUUUGAUAUCCUUACGAUACAUGAAAUGAAUAUUAGCAUUAUUUAGCAACUUAAACUAGCCACCAAUCUUAUGUUGAUUCAAAAGUAGCUCUUAUUCCUCCAAGAGAAGAAAUGGCACCAACAUCGAUCACUAAAGCACUAUUUCUAAUCUUGAUCUGUAUUUACUUGAAAGAUGCUACAAAUCUCCAUCAAAUGUGAUUAUUUAUUUAUGAUUGAAUAAAAGCGCUAACAUAUAAUCAUUUUCUUGUUGAGUGUACUUCUAUUUUUUUACUCAAGUUUUGAUAGUCGAGUGCUUUGGCAGCAUGAAAGUAAAAUAUUUUUAGAGUGAUGCUUCCCAUUAAUUACCAAUUGAUAAACUGUAUAAUUGGUGCAUAGGGUUGAUUUGAUUUUACUCUUUUUGUCUUGAGAAUGAAUAUUUGCUUAUUUGAAAGUAAUAUUAAAGGAAAAAAAAUUAAUUGUAAAAAAAUAUUAAAGAAAAAUAAAAAUAAAAUAUUAAAAGAUUUUUUUUUUUUUUUAAAGAAAAAUUGGAGAGAAUAUCCCCUUACUAAAAAUUGUGGUUCUAUUUCUUUAAUAUGUUUUCUCUUUUCAUUUAAAAAAAAUAAGAAAAGAAAAGGUGGAAAUAUCAUUUUGGUAUUUUCAUAAUUUUCUUUAAAAAAUAAUAAAAUAUGUUUUUGGAAAAAAAUGACAAGAAUACGAAUAUUAUAAAUAUAAAAGGAAUAUGCAUAAGAAUCAAAUCAACUUAAUAUAAGUAUUUAUUGUAUUUAUUACUAAUGGUUAUAAUUUUAUAUUAGAAACUAAUUGGUUAUAAUAGAUUGAUUGUAAGUAUAUUAGAACAAUUUAUUACGAUAUUUUAAAAUCACAAAUUUUAAUUUAUUUUCUCAACCUUUGUGUUGACUAACCAAAGAAAAAAUUUAUAUAUAUAUAUAUAUAUAUAUAAUUUUCUUUCCAUCAAAUUAUCUAAAUAAAUUAUAAGACUGUAGUAACAACCUUUUAGAUAAUAUUUAUAAAAUUUGAAUUUAGUUACAAGCAUGAAAGGAAAAGAAAGAAAGUCGUUCACAUUUUUUAUUUUAUUUCUCAUUAUAAAACAGAUAUAAAUUCUUUAUAAUGUAUUUCUAUUCAAAAAAGUUGAAAUGAUGUAACUAAACAUAGUACUUCCAUACAACACAUACUUUCAAAUGAAAAUACCCAUAAAUUAAUAUUAUGUCUAAUUUCAUGAAAGUAUUAAAGAAAGAUAUAAACAUUAAAAUAAAUAAAUAAAAUUUAUCGUGUGUGCCUUUAUAUAUAUAGGGAAGCAAUUUCUUUUUAUGUGGAAAAUAUAAAAUAUUUAAAUACAUUUAAAAUUAAUAAAAUUAAUAUAUUUUAAAAUUAUUUAAUAUUUAUAUAAAAAAUGAUAAAAUAAAUUAAAUUAGUUUUAAAAAACAUAUAAUAUUACUUUACUAUCGAGUGUUAUAUUCUACUUGAGAACCAAACAUAUUACGAAGAUAUACUAUUAUUAAUUUAUAUUUAUAAUGAUAUUAAUUAAUAUUUACUUAAAAUAAGAAAGUUAAAGUUGACAAUUGUUUUGAGAAUAAUCUCAUAUUAUUUUAAAUAGAAAGAUAAAAAAAAUUAUAUUUGAUAAUUAUUAUUAUUUUUGUUUUUAUAUUUUUAAAAACAGAAAAUAUGAUAUUUUUAUAUAACAUCUUUUAAUUAAAUUAUUUUAAUCAAUAUAUAAAUAUAUAAAAUGAUUAAAAAUAAAUAUUAAAUUUAUUUUAAUGUAUAUUUAAAAAUAUUUAAAAUAGAUUUAAAAUAUUUUAGAUUUUAAAUAAACUUUUAUUUAAUAAAAUAUGAAAAAACAAUUUUUAAAAAGUGUUUCCAAAACUUUUUUUUAGAACUAUUUUAGAAAAUGGUUUGCAAGGCUAUAAACUAUGUUUUAGCGCCCAUGAAUCCUCACGUUCAAGCAUCUUGGUAAAGCCAUCGGCCCUGAAUAUUCCCACGUGGGCCACACCUAGUCAAAUAAUGCGCAAAAGGGUUAAUAAAUAAGGGAAAAUUGUGUUUAUAGGCCAUUAUAUGAAAAAUAUAUAGGUUUGGAACCCAUAUAAUUGAAAUAUGGGUUUUACCUGUUAAUAACAAAAAUAUUAUUGGUUUUAUGCACUAUUUACUGUUAAUAUUCAUAUUUUCGAAAUUACCCUUUUUUUUUUUUUUUUUCCCUCUCUGUGUCUCCCCCUCCUCUGCCGCUCAACCCCCCUCUCCCCGUUUCCAUCCUCGUUUGAUUUCCGAGUUGGGGGUUUUGCAUGGAUUUUCUCGGAAAUCAAACAAGGGCGAAUUUUCCCGGAAAACGAAAUGGGGGGCCGGAAAAAAAGCAAUUUUUUUUUGUUUUCCUUGGGGUUUUGCAUGGAUUUUCUCGGAAAUCAAACAGAAAACGAAUGGGGGCGGAAAAAAAAGCAAUUUUUUUGUUUUCCUUAGGGUUUUGCAUGGAUUUUCUCGGAAAUCAAACGGAAAAUAAAUGGAGGCGGAAAAAAAGCAAUUUUUUUUGUUUUCCUUAGGGUUUUGCAUGAAUUUUCUCGGAAAUCAAACAAGGAUGAAUUUUCCCAGAAAAUGAAGGGGGGGCGGCGGCGACGACAGAUCCAGAAAACAUAGGGAGCAAAAGAAAAAGCAAUUUUUUUGGUUUUCCUUGGGGGUGGAUUUUCUCGGAAAUCAAACGAGGAUGAAUUUUCUCGGAAACGAAUGGGGGGAACGGGGGAGCAAAAAAAAAAGUAAUUUUUUUGGUUUUCUUGGGGGUUUUGCAUGGAUUUUCUCAGAAAUCACGAGGAUGAAUUUUUCCCGGGGAAACGAUUUGGGGGGGGGGGGGCCAGAAUUUUCCGGGAAAACGAAGGGGGGCGGUGGGAGGGAGGAGGAAAAAAAAAAAAAAGGGUAAUUUCGGAAAUAGGAAUAUAAACAGUAAAUAAUGCAUAAAACCAAUAAUAUUUUUGUUAUUAACAUGUAAAAUCCAUAUUUCAGUUAUAUGGUUUCCAAAUCUACAUAUUUUUCAUAUAAGGGUCUAUAAACACAACUUUCCCAAUAAAUAAAGUAAGCUAGCUCAUUCUCGUGAGUUUAGAUGGCAGAGACCAUGCCCAAAAGCCAUAGACAAAGGACAAAUUUUGCAGAGAGCCCUCCAGAUGCGAAGGUCAAGUGGCCACUGACAUGACCCUGUCGCGUCAGCAAUAAUAAAUUAUUGUAGGCGGCGGACCAAAAACAAUUGAAAACAGUGGGACCCAUAUGCUUGAUGGUUUUUCAGUAAUCAUCAUCAUCAUCAUCAUCUCAUAAUGAAGUGAUAAGAAUGGUGAUUGGCUGGAUUUGGUUAGAAUGAUGACUAAGAUUCGAGAAAGCUGUAGAUGUACAUACAACUUAUAUUAAUUUAAUAAAUAUAAAUGGCAAUUAACACAUGCGCUCCCAAAGCCAGGGGGCAAUCAUGAAUCAUGGCACGUCAGGCACAACUAUUUUUGUGUACAUUGGGACUCUUCAACUUGGUUUUGUGCCCUUCUGGUGCUUUGACGGGACGCCUUUGCGGUUGAUUUUUCUUUUGCUAACGCGUCCUGUAUUUAGUAGUCCCUUAACAUAAAUUUGGUUAUAAAAAAAAAUAUUUAUCCAUCCUCGUGAUAUUAAAGUUUUAUUCAUGGCCAAAUAAUGUGUCCAUACGUUUCAAAUAAAUCUGAACUAUUUCUAAACAGGAAAGUCAAAUGUCUGAUAGGAGGAAAACAAUUUAAAUUAGAAAUAAUUCAAGUAAAAAUUAUUCAAAAUAGUGAAAACCUAUCAUUAUCAUUUGUGGAUAUGAAUGGGAAAAAGCUAGAAUCGUGGUUCAAAUUUGAUGACUAAAUUUUUGGCCACAUGCCUAAUCCCUUGGAACUCCUGCUAUCGUGGUAUAUGAUGCGAUAAUUGCUAAUUGCUCUUCCAAAUUUUCUUAUCCAGAAAGAUGCAAGAACCCAGAAUUUUCAAGAAUGUUGAAACUAUUAUUGAGAGCAUAUGGAUUAUGGUGGAUAAUUACACAUCCCAUUUUGAAGAACCUUUCUGCUUUAUAACCCAAUCAAUCCUCAUUGGGGCAGGCCACUUAAAGCUACGCACAGCCUGAUUGGUUGCUGUUGCGUCCAACCAUGACUGCUAUCCCGAAUCUUCAAUAUCCUCCAACCCACCAUGCCUGACAUUUGUGCGCUUUAAAGGGGAUUCGGAUCGCGACUUGUGUCUUUUCUGUAUGCCAUCUCAACUACUCCUAAUUCAUUUGUUCCCAAAAUUUAUGCCAAAUUUUGGCCAUAGUCAAGGGUGGUUGUGAAUACAAUUUAAAAGGACGAGAGGUUGUAUUUUAAAAAAAUAUUUUAAACUACCUUCAUCUUCAUCAUAUUUUAAAAUUUGUUGGAAAUGAUGAUAAUAAAAAAUAUAAAAUAAAAUAAAUAAAAAGGUAAAAUGUGACUAAAACUGCAUAAAUAUUUUAAACUUUUUUUUAAUAAAUUAGUUAAAUGAUAGUAUUCAUAAUUAGGAAAUGUUUAAAAUAUUGGUAAAUACAAGUGGAUAUUUUGAUAAAAAUAUAAAUGAGAUGAAAAUGAUUCAAAAUUCACUAAAAUACUUGAAAAAAACUCUUAAAAAUGAUAAAAAGUAAAUAAGAAUAUAUAUAUAAAAGUUAUUUUAUAAGUGUAAUUGAUAUAAGUACUAUUAAAUAUAAUAUUUAGUUUAAAUUCAUUUAAUAUAUUUAUAUUAAUUCAUUUUAAAAUUUUAAAAAUACUUUUAUUAAAACAUAUUUUAUUAUAUUUUAAAUAAAAUAUUAAAUUGAUUUAUGUAAAAUAUCUUAUUUGAAAUUUGAUUUCUAAAAAUUUGUUACAAAUAUAUGGUGAUAAUUUUUCUAUUAACAUUAAUUUAUUUAAAUAAUUAAAAUUAUUAAUAAUUUAUCUUAUCAAAUUAAUUUUUAUUUAUAAAAUAUUAGGACUUCAUUAAUUUUUUUAUAUUGUAGAAAUUUUUGAGUAAAAUUAUAUUUUUAAUAUUUAAAAAAACAUUUAACAUUAAAUAAAAUUAAACGGAUAAAUAAAAAAAUUAAGAAUGAAGUGAUAGUAAUUUUUUAAAAUAUUAUUAAUGAGAUAAAUAUAAAAAGUAAUUAAAAAUAAAAAAAUAACAUAAAAUAAAAUAAUAAUGUAGAUUUAAAAUAAAAAAUAAUUAAGAAAAUAAAAAAGAUAAAUAUUUUUAAAAAAAACUUUCAAAAAAAGUCUCCAAUAAAUUUGACAUAUUAUCGAUAUUUUAUCAAAUUCUUAUUAAUCCAAUAAUCAAUGUUCAAUAUUAUGUCAAGCAACACUGAUAUUCGAUAUAUCAACAUAUUUCAUAAAAAGAAUCUGAAAUUUUAAUCCAAUUGGGAAAAGAGCAAAGGAAGGCCAACACAAUGACUUGCACGCUUGCUCAAUCAAGAAAAUGAAAUGCCUUUCAUUGGAUUAUUAAGUUCUUUUUUAUCGAGUAGUGUGCUUUCACUUUCCUAAAUAAUCGUGGACUUCACAAUCGCAAGAUGCCACGAAGACAAGUGAUUGCUGGCUCGGAUGAAGAACUAGUGCUUGGUGCUUAAUACUAUUCAUAGAUUCCAAUGCAUUCAUAGUCAGCACAUGAAUCGAACAAUUGUAUGGAGGUGGAGUCUUGUCGCCCAAAAGGCACAUGUCAUGUCAAGUCAUAAUGGUUCAUGACCAACGUCUAUUUCAAUGCAGAAUGAAUAUAGAGAUAGAAGGGUUAAGGGAAUCUAAUUUUGAGUUAUUCAAAAUUAUUCUAAAUGAUUUAGAUAUUUUUUGAAAAUCUAAACCUAGAUUUAGGUAUUAAUCAAUUUAUUACGACACCAAAAUUAGGAAUAUGUUAUUUCAUGUAGAUGGCAUUAACUUUUAGACGUCUAGCAAAAGCAAUGACGGUGGGGUGUGCCAUCCCUUGUGGCUGGGAAAAGGGGAGUGUUGUUAUGGGUGGAAGUGUUGGAAAACAAUAGCAUGCGUUAUAUUGUAUUCUAUGCGUGAUCAUUUUAGAGGCUUGUGUGGCUGGCGGCAUGUACGGAUGAAGCUAGAAAGAAUAGUUACUCCAUGAGAAAAAAAGAAAUAAUAAUUAUAAUAAAAAAAUAUAAUAAUAUUAGGGAUUUUUAAAAAAUAGAUUAAGAUUUUUUUUAAAUUUGGGAAUUAGUUAAUUAAAAUGAUACUUCUUGGAAGGAUUGUCAUGGAUAAUAAUGAUAACACAAAAUGUUAUUAGAAAUAUUAAAUUGUAAUCUUAGAUAAAUAGAAAAUAAUAAUUAUUAAUUUUUGUAUUAUGUUAUAUUAGGUGUGGAUUAAGUUUUUCAUAAAUUGAAGUAAUUUAUUUUAAACAGGUGUUGAUAGUGAAACAAGUUUAUAAAUCCUUAUCAAACUUUAAAAAUAUCAAAAUGUUUGAAUUCUUUAGAGUUCAUUUAAUGACAUUUUUUCAAAUACAUUUUUAUUUGUUUCUUAAUCGAUUUGUUAUGAUCGAUGGUGCCACCUUGUAUCUAGUCCUACUAUUUAAGGAUAGUGUUGUUCUUAGUAGAUCAUAAUAAAAUGUUUAUUUAUAUAAUUCUUUUAAUAUGAACUCAUUAUGCAAAGUGUAUUAUGCUUUUUUUAAUUGAAUCAAAUAUAAAUUUAUGUUAUUUAUCGAUACCUCAUUUUCUAAAAAAAAAAAUUUAAUAUUUUCCCGGCUUUAAUUUUGCAUUGUACUUUAUCGUUCUUAUUGUACUAGUUCUCGUUACUAAGUUGUCAAGUUCAUUCAUUUAUAUUAUUUUACUUUUCAAGUACAAAUGAAACUAAUGAUGAAUUAUCAGGAUGGAAAAGAUAUUUCUAUUGAUACUCUAAAAUUUAUGGUUUAAGAACCUAAUUAUGAUUUCUAGAUUUUUUGUUCAAAAUAUUUGGAUAAUUUUCAACUUAUAAUUGAGAAAUUUCAAUUAGUUUUUAAGUGAUAAUUUAGUAUCUUUUAAAUUAUAUUUAAGCUUUAAUUAUUGUUUUCAAUCAAGUUAAGUUAAUUGGCAACUACAUAUAUCAUAGAUUUGGCUAGUUAUGGUCAUUCAUGUGUUGGAUGUUAGGCUCCAUAUGAAAUGACCUUGGUGUCAUUAAUCUCCAAGUUCAAAGUGUCAGAGAGUGGUACUAGAGUUUUAAAAUAUGGUCUUGUGGGUUUAUUGACUUAGUUGGGAUUGAGUUAGUGAAUGUGUGCUGACAUAUCCCCAUUUUUGUUGUGAAUUUUUAGUUAUUGUCAAUAAAUAAGUUAUCUUAGUUUUAAUGUUUUAUAUUGUUUUCGCUUUAAUCCUUUUCACCUUAUGAUGAAUAGGUUAUUAUGGCCUCAAGAUGUAUUACUUCUCAUGGUAAUCAACUAUUGUAGGAGUCGUCAAGACCAUUAGGAAUGUGAAUGUCUUACUUAGAGUUAGAGUAUAUUUGAAAGUGAUUUUAGAAAGUGUUUCUAACAUUUUUAACAUUUGAAUGAUAAAAAUUUUCAAGUAUUAGAAAUAUUAAAAACGCUUCCUAAAAUUACUACUAAACGAACUCUUAAUGAUAUACCAUUUGACACUUAAAGGUAUAGCUCCAGCUAUGGAUACCUAGUUUAGAUUGGUUAAACAAUAGACAUGUGUUAUUAAUAUUCAAGCUCCAAUUAUCGAGGUUUAAGCCAUUAAAGGGGCGUAAUGACACUUUCACAAUGUUAAAGAAAAACCUUAUAAAACGAGGCAAAAGUAGGCAAAACCCCACCUUCAUAUGCUCUACAAGGAUAUAUCCCUUCCCAAGACUAGGGAUGGCAACGGGGCGGGUUUUUUCGGGUACCCGCCCCGCCCCUAAUGGGACGGAUUUGAAAUUUAAUAAACGGGUUUUUAACGGGUAUGGGAUUUUUUUUUUUAACCCGGGGCAAGUUCGGGUAUUGCCCCAUCCCGCCCCGUUUACAUAUAAAAUCAAUUUUAAAAUUUAAUUUAAUUUAAAAUUUAAAAUUAAUUUUAUUUUACUAUUUUUAAUAUAUAGAUAAUAAUAAAAAAAUUAAUAAAAUAAGUUAUAAAAAAUAUAAUAAUUUUAUUAUUUAUAAAUAUAUUUAUUUUAAUGUAAUUAAAAAUUUUAAAAGCAAAUUUAUUUUUAUUUUUUUUUUAAAAAAGGAGGCUAAACGGGGCGGGGCGAGGCGGGUUUGGGAGUUUAAUUUUUUAAACGGGACAGGUAUGGGAAUUAUUUUUGAUAAACGGGGCGAGGUUGGGAUGGGGGCGACCCGUCCCGAACCCGCCCCGUUGCCAUUCCUACCCAAGACACAACUAGUCCUUAUGAAAGACUUGUGAUCUUUGUGUUGGGGUGAAUUUGAAAACGGCAAACCAAGGACGCUACAGCUGAAACCAUAAGAGAUACCUUUGAGAAAUGAGGGGCAAAGAACAAAAAAUAACAAUAAAAGGAACGAGAAAGGAAGAAAUAGAUAGACAAAGAGGCAAAAAGCACAAAAAGAAAGAAAUUAAUAGAAGUGUUUUAUGUAGGCAUAUGAAAAUACCAUUGAGAAACUUGAAAUCAACAAAAUUAUUAUGCCACUCACAUCAUUUCUCUUAGAAUAUGCGCCCACUGUUACGCUGUCUUUUAAUUUACCUAUCUAUCAACUCUCUCAAGCAGGAAAAUUGAAAUUUUACGUACACUUUUAGUUCUUCUACAUGUUCUCUUCUUUGAAACUUCAUGGCUAACUUAUCCACGGAAAAGGAAUUAAUGUUUUAACCGAUCACUAUCUAUUUGCCGGAGUAAAUGUGUCAUUGCACGGAGCCCACAAGUGUCACGAUUGAAGAAGAUGGUACAACUACGACUAACCUUUUGGAAUAAAUGGGCCUGACCCUGGUCGGCUACAACCAGAUGUGAAGUUUAAAAGAAACAGGCUGGGCCUUAGGUUAAUUGGGUGGCAGUUAAAACUAAAACCAAGCCAAGCCCAUAACCUGAAUUAGCUGGCCCAGUCAGUUUGAGUUGGAUAGAGCCAGCACAUAAGGAAGCUAAAUAUAAUCACGGAUUAGAAUUGAUUUUAUUGUUAUACUACCUCUUUCUUUUAUUAUAUUCAUUAGAUUUAAAGUUAGUACAUCCUAGUCAUUUAAAACUUUUUCUUACAAAAAAAAAUAAAUGCAAAAGUCCUUUAAUAGUAAAAUACCAUAGGCUCUCAGUUGGACCAGAUCCAACUUAAACCCGUGUGCAGCCCAGCUUAAACUAGGUCUAGGUCAGGUGGAUUCAGUGAUUAAAAGUUCUCCCAUCUUUAAUUGACAUUCCAGCAAGGUUUGAGCUCCCAUAAAAUUAAUAUAUUCUUGCCUCAUUUAAUUUGGGCCCGCUUCGAUUAUGUGAGGCCGGGCACUGCUUGAGCCCAAAGUAAUAAGCACUCAACCCAAUCUAAGAGAAGUGGACGCACUGUUGGCAGCGCCAGGUCAAGUCAGUAAUUGGACAUAUCAACCCAACACUUUAUCAAGUUCUUUUUCAAAGGCCUUUGCAAUGUAUGGUCAUGCAAUACAAAUAUUUAAAGUGGAAAAUGAUUGAAUUUGAGGACAUUUUCAGUACAAUUGGGGUGGGAUGGUUGUUUGGUCUCCAAAAGACGUUCUAAAAUUUAAAUCUCUUUAUAUAUUAAAUGAAGAUUUUUGACAAAUUUUUUUUCCAAAAAAGAAAAAAGAAAAAAAGAAGUAAAAAGAGGAAAGACAAAAGGAACUCUUGGUAAUUAUUGAUCUUAAUUGACGUUUAACCCCGAUCCAAAAUCCCAAGGACAACUCGAAGGUAGAGAGAAAAGUGUUAGGGUUAAGACAAUGUAGGGUAUGUCCUGGCAAAGGGUGGAUUGCAUCCAAGUAGAAUGAUAUAUAAAUAUAAGGAGAUGGCCUACCGGAUGGAGAUACCUAAAACUCGAAUUGUCCCUUUCUUUCUGCCUACAUAAAGGGACAUUUGAGGCCUAAAAGUCAUUUGCAGUUCACAUAUGAGCUACAAGUGUGAACCUACAUGGCCCCGGAGCCAGAACAUGAGCUUGCAGCGUAGAUAUCAUACAAGGCCCACUGUCCCAGUUCUGGACCACACCAUGCCCCUUACCACCCACUAGCGCUUCUGCCUACAUUUAAUGCCACCGUCUGCUUUUUCUUUAAUGCCUUUCUAUUACCACUACCCACCAUUUUACUCGUCCCAUUCUCCACCAGUUUCUUAAAUUGGAAAUUCUAAAGCUACCGUUGCUUUUUCUUUUAUACGGAUUCAAUUCAACUCUCCCUUAAUUUUUUUUAUUAGUUAAAUCAUCGAUGAACAAUUAUAACAUAAAAGAUAUUUUAUUGACGGCUUUUUAAUUACAAGAAUUAAAAAAAAAUGGUGUGAAAUUGGAUUUAAUCUAAUUUGAACAUUGUCCUUUUGAGCUGCCUUCCAAGAUCAAGAGUUAUCAACCCAAACUAUCCUCUACGUAUAUGGUGUAUGUGCCUCAAGAUGUACGUAUUUGAGAUGAUAUUUUAUUUUAUAAAAUUGGAAAUUACUUUUGUCUGCAGCGUCAAAACUGGGGCAGGAGUACACCCCAAAUGCAGGUCAUGACUUGGAAUUACAACUCAUGUUUGCCAUAUUCCUUUUUAUGCUGUUCUUUUUAUCCUUUCAAGGUAUUUUCUCUUAAAGAAACAGUACAAAGAGCAAGAAAGAAGGGAAGAAAAACUCAAAAGCAAUGUUUUCCUAAUCAAAUGAAUCUCGAAGCAAAAUGAUCAUGAAUGAUCCUUUUGAUUUUAUUCUAAAACUGCUCUUUCAAGUGCUCUUUACAUGUUGGUCUUGUAUGAUCAUCAGCACACUUUUUUAUGAGAGUAGGAUUCAAGAGGGCACUUUACACAAACCCAUGAAUAUUUGGACCAUGGCAGAUUGAAGGAAUGCCCAUGAAUAGGACCACGUCUAUGGUCCAGGCGUCCCAACCUUGCCAGAAAUCAGGGUUUGAUUAAUUAAAUAAAUGUUUCCUCCACUCAGGAUACACGAAAUAGAGCAACAUAUAAAACUAGAAGCAGGACUGUCUAGCCUUUCUGUACUUGGCAUGGGUGCAAUUCAUAUUUGACAUUACCUAAGAAGGAGAUACAUAAAGUUCAAGAGGGUAAGGCUCUGAACACUGAGCAGCCCCAGCCCCAUUGGAUACUCAACCUGUGGCUCACAUUACCAAUUAGGGUCUGCAACACAACCUGGAAGAACAUUUUAUUCUGGAUCAGGAUAGAAGGGUCCUUCGAUAUUUAUACUACUCACGCAUGGAAUGUGCAAUUCCAGGGAAGUAGAUGGAUCCAGUGUCCCAUCUCUCAAUUCUGAUUCCCAAUCAAAAUUAUAAUCUCAGCAGAGGUGUGGGCCUGCUCUAUAAAUCCUUGCAGCUCGGUGCCUUUUGUGUUUAUACUACCUAAAUGCUUCAGAAGUGGACGCUAUUGCUGGAAUGCUCCAUUGGCUCAUAUGAGAAUAUGACAAUGGUGUUAAAACUGAGUCUGACAAUCGCUGAUCCCACCAUCCAUUUACUCCACCGAUUCCGCACCCCAUUCUCCAAAGAAAGAUGAUGCAUUGAAUAAUGUUUUUGGCUCUGUUGAGGUCCCCAAAUCCGAGCAGACCCCAGUAAAUUAUUCUCACUGUUACAUCUAGGGCUCAUUCUAAUUGGCUAAGUUGCGGUCCUAAAAUACAAGCUGAAUUACUUUUUAGGUGUCACAAGUAGGAUGAGAAAAGUCAGGUGAGCAUGGAGAAUUGCCUAACAGUUAGAUGCUGGUACUUUUAUAUUCGUUUUACAGAAUUUUAGAUGGGGUUUGGUUGUAGCCUUGUGGAAAGGGAUUUGAAAACUCGUAUGUCCAUGGUGACUUGGAAUGAGUUAGUGCUGUGAAAUAUUGAGAGGUGGUGGCUGCUUUGCGGCCAGCAUAGAGUAGUACUAAUGGGCAGCUAACCGGACCGAAGGAAGAGCCAAAAUGAAUGGGGGACAAGUUGGAAAUUUCGAUGGAAUAGUGACCUAACAAUAAUAUCUUGUUGGUACAAUCAUGUUCUGUUUCUUUUUCCCCCUUAGAAUCUGAAUAAAUUUGAAUAUAUAUUCAAUAUUAACUGUUGAAAAGAACUCCUCAUAAGAUUUUUUUGGCUUCUGUUUUGAAAACUUCCCUUUUAAAAAAAAAAAAUUCUUGUUUUAGGGGAUGUAUCACUCCUUCACCUAUAGAAAAAUUGGGGUGCCUUGCUUCCACGUGAGACACAUUUUUUAUACAAUGCUCAAAAGCCUUAAAAACACUAACGUUGAGCAGGUCAAAAGGGUGAGCAUUGAACUAUGAGUAAAAGAUGGCAAUGUCCAUAAAAGAAGUGAAGGUGUUUACUGAACCAAGCACUCUGAGCUCUGUCCUUCUCAUGGUCUCUAAUCCAUCUCUUAUCAUUGUCCCUCUCUUUUUUUUCUUUUUGGGUUGAAAUAUACCGAGUCCAUUCUCUAAUCUGCCAAAAGCAGAGAGCAAAAGGGCUAACAAAGACACACCAACACAAAAUCAAAAGAUAUUGUUCCCCAAUUCAAACAUUCUCUCCACCUUUCACCUUUUCCCCCUUUUAUUUUUUGUGGGUUUGCUUUUUGGUGGAUCUAAUUUAAUCCAAAAUCUCUUUAAUCUUCUCCAGCACCUCCUUUGCUAAUCCGGCAUAAAAUCCUGUUCUUUCUUUUGGUUGAUCCACCCAUUUUUCAUCUUUGCUUUUCCCUUUCUCAGAUGCGCCCCAAUCCACAAAGAACUUCAUCCCUUUCUGUGACAUCAAAAUUCAACCAAAAUUUGGCACUGUAGAGCUCCUUAUACAUGGAAACAAUUAUGAAAGAGGACAAACAUCAGCUUGGUAUGAUGCUUCAUUGCAUACGUGUCGGCACCCAAAUCCACAAGGAGGGAGAGCAUGGGAAUGAUUUGGUCAAUAUGAGUAGAAGGGAACUGACUUUAUAUUAUAUAUUUCCCGACAUUCACGGUGCUAAAUCUUAUAAUAUGUAAGAUUCAUAGUGUGAGUGAGUUAAACAUAAUAGGCUGUUGUGGCUUGUGAGUAAUAAAUCUAGAGUCUUGUGUACUUAAGAUUUGAUUUGAAAGCCAAGUCAUGAUUCCCUUUAGUUUAAAGUGCUAGAAAGCACAUGCAGGCCUUCUUCUAGUUGUCUUUUGUGGUAGCAACCACUCUGAAGAAAGAGAGAGACUACCUAUUAGUUUAUACGUUUGUGCCGAGAAAGAUUAGACUCGUUCACCUUCUACUUUGAUUAUAAUAUUCUUCCCUUGAAUUUUCUAGGAAGAAAGCCAUCCUAUUCAAACCAAAAACAAAGGAUCAUGGAUUCUGUACCCUCCCUGGUCUUCAGACUCUUCACUCUUUAACUUAUAAAAUCAUGAAUCCUGUCAUCUUUUUUUAUAUUAUUUUAUUUAUCCUUUCCGUUUUUUCAAAUGACAAAAGAGCUCAUGGUGGUGCAACCCCAUAUAUUUUAUCACGUCUUGGGGCUAAAAAUGGAAAGAGAAACUAGCUGGCAUCACCUCAUUGAAGUCAUUCUUAUAUUUCUUGGAAACCUAUGGGUAUAUUAUAUAUAUUUCCUAAAUAUAUAAGCCUUUACUGUCCUAGACAUUAAAUGAUUCCAUGCUUAAUUAUGGUUGAACCCGUGCUCCAGAAUAAGGUUGAGAUUCAAACAUCUUGAUCCAGUUGAAACCAAAAUAAAAAAAUGAAUGAUCUGAGGUUCAAAUCCAAAGAUCAAUAGCUGCACAAGAAACGUACACUCGCGAAUAUUCAAUAAAGUAACAGUGAAUAUAUCAGACCCUAUUGAAUAUCUUGGAGUGAAAGGCUAAAAGGACUCAAAUAGUCUACCCAAAAAGUAUUUAUCAUUCAGCCCUAUUAAAUGAACUUAGGUUUCACCUACCCUUGUAUCUCAAGAACAUAUGACUUACAAAGCAUAGGUCCAUGUUAACCGCUGCCCAUUAAAAGAUAAAACUAGUGGACUAGUCAUAAUGAAUAACUUUAUUUGAAUAUUACGCAACUUGAUCAAUUGCAGUUUAUUGGCAUUUCUUUUAAAAGAUUGAGCUUCGGGAUGAAAUAAUGGCUAUAAAACAGUGCAUGGCAUGGCUAUAGAGGUCUGUUAACUCAGAUUAAGCUCCAUUGAUGCAAGUUAUAACAGCCAAUAACUUUAGACAAGUUGAAGAAGAAAGGGAGAGGAAGAGUGUGAAUAAAAAUCAAGAAAAGGUCGGUGUUUCUCAGCUGGGUAGGUAAGUCUAUAGUCCAGUCCAGGACAUUAGUGCCCUCCUUUCAAACAGAGUCUCACAAAAACGAGGUCAAACACCACAUAAUGGUCCCAAAAAAAAACCAUAAAAAUGCCAAUGGCCGACAACACCUUCCUCCUUUCACAUGCAAACAACUUCCCAUGGAUUUCCAUUUCGCCUUCCUCGUUUCUGCUGUUACAGCCAAAACAUUAAGCCACAUCUCGCUAUGCUCCAUUCUCCAUAUCCAUAUUUGAGACAUUUUUUAUAUGUACAGGAAAUAAUCAAAGAUAAUUAUAAGCUAUGCAAGUUACUAUUAUAGAAUUAUGCUCAUACAAGAGAGUGAGUUACAUAUUCAAAUGCUCUUCUUCAUUGCUAUGCUUAUGUUCUUUACUUUCAUCCGGAUAAAAUGCCAGCUAUCUCUGCUUCCGAAUCUCAACAUCCAUCGCUCGUAGAGAUGAUAGCAGGGCGUAUCCAUGAUCCAAUGAGUUGGAUUUGGGUGGAAAUGCAGAGAUGGUAGGCAAUUUAACAAGGCACAUCAAAAGAACAUAUACAUUAUUUAACAUAUAAGACAGACUAGUCCAUGAGAAAGGGGGAAUUGAGGAACUAGCGAGGAAUGACCGUCGGGGCAUCAGCAGUAGCUUGGUUGAGAGUCUGCAGAUGCUGCUCCUGACCUCUACUCUUCUUGGACAAAUGCUCCGAUGAGGAAGGCGAGGAAGAAACCGCUACAGCCCAUGAAUCAUUUGAGCUGUCGCAGCUGAACCAUCCAUCCAUAACGCCAUUUGGACUGCCCGGUGUGGAGGCAAACUUGCGUUUAUUGUGAUGGUGACAACGGGCACUCGAUGCUAUAUCCAGGAUGAGCUGACUGCAAUCCUCUACUUUGUCCUGUUAAGACAGAUAGGAUCAUAAUUUAAGAAACAUUGCACAAUAAUCUUCCAGAUUCAACGUUAAGAACAAAAUACACAAGGAUUUGGCAUAACGAGAAGUAAGAACAACAAACCUUAUCAAUUCCGAGAAUACCCAGUAGCUGGCUCUGGUAUUGGACACGAAUGCAGGGUUCUACGCUAUCGAUGACAUGCAGCAUUAUGGCGGUGGCGAUUACAGAAGGAAGAUAACACCCGAACCUACAAUCUUUAUUAAAGGAACACAAAAAUGAACCAUGUGACAACCAACAGGUGAUGGAUUGAAACUUUUUUUCCCAAAGAGAGCAUUAUUUGUCAAUGUGCGAAGGGAAAGACUUUGACGGCUUACCAGAAAGAACAGAGAGAAGGAGGCGCUCACACCUCUUGAGAAAUUCCCAACAGAGAUGAUUUUUCAAUCCAAGCCUCCUCGUAAUAUAAUCAAGAAAUGAAAGCGGGGUCACAGGGUUCAUCUUCCAUCGAAGCGUGGAGAGCACCAUAAUCUCCAUCCUCUGAAUGGUCUUUGCCUCGAACACAUACAUCGUCUCCUCCACCUGAAUAAAUUAUUAAAAGGAAAAAUCCAAUGUUGAUAAAGAAAGCAAGGACGACGAAAUGGAAGCAUUUCAAGGAAAUCCAAGUAUGGCUGAAUCAGACAUACUUGCAAGUCUAGUAAAAGGGGCACUUGGGUCUCUUCCACCUUAGCAGCAAGGGAGAGACAAGCCACAGCGGCGAGUUGGGUCAUCCAUGGCUUUUCUCCCUGAACAUCGCAGCUGAAGAGAAACCUAUCAAAAUAAUUAACAGCCAGGACUGCAGUGAGAGCAGAGAAAGAGUAGUGGGCAUUGACCCUCAGCAUCCACUCCACGGCCUCGCUUCUAGCUCCAGCCGCUAAUGGGUUGCUUUCGGGGUUACUAUGGAGGUCAUUUUUCUCUUCUUUUGAGAACAAAGAGACGAGCUCUUCGUCUUCGCAUAGGAGGUCCGGCUCCAAUAACGGUGGAGCGUUUGGUUUACUGCCAUCACUGUAAUAGCUCUCUUCUUCUUCCUCUUCUAAGAAACCCUCCUCUCUCACUUCUUCCUCCCAGUGGUUCUCUUCGCAGUAAAGAGUGUCCAAAAGGAAUGGGAGGUUGUGCGGCUGUUGGUGUGUUUUCUGUUCUUGAGGCUGAGCCAUCUUCUUCUGAGAAGAAGAGGUCUGGGCCUUGGUUCAUUAUAAUCCAGAGAAGAUGAGGAAGAAAGAGAAGCCUGAGCUCCAAGCUUGAGGCAUCUCUCUCUCUCUCUCUCAAUACUGGGGAGGGACUAGGGAGACUCAAAUGCAAUUCAAUAAACCCAAAAUGGAUGAUGUGGAAUAUGUGUGGGUUUGCAAGUAGCUAGCCGCAGCAGUGUAUUUUAUUGGAGGGUCUGGUGUCUAACGUCUCAGAGCUGCAUCAUGGGCCAUGCAGCACAAUAACUCGACACGUGACAUCUGUACUACAGAUUGCGGGACCCACGGCAAUAUGAACCGUGGAUGAGAUGGUGUGAGCCAUUGAAAUUAAAGACUUUUAUCCGGCAUCCAUGAUUUUUACUAGGAAGGCAGAAUGAUGAGAGCUUGUACCGCCAUGAGGAAUAUGAUGGAACAUUAAUUUUGAUUUUGGUCGUUUCUAACACUCUUUGACAUUUUGCUUGGGCAGAAUGCUUUGGAGCAGGCAGCAGCACGUACACGAAAACAACUUCUGAAGCUCUGAAAGCUCUCAUGGAGGGAAAGCAAAGGCCAUGAUAGCUGGCAAUUGCUGGGGGAGUGAGGGGUGUUUUCUUCUAUAAUCCCUCACCACCUUAAUUAUCGUGGAUACCUUUUGUUUGUUUUCCCCUUCCACCUUACUAUUAUUUUAGUAUGCAAUUCACACAUUGCCUGCAAGUCAACACCCUGCAUUCACUCGCCUAUUUGGGGUAGAUUAGAUUGUAUAUUUAUUACCCGAUUAUGAGCAUCGACCAUUUUUAAACCCAGAUUGGAAUAAAGUUAGGUUAUCUUAUUCAGGUUGGCACGUAUGGGCCACGACACUCCGGUGGCAAGUUUCUUGCUUGGUUCAAAAUUUACCAAAUCCUCCAUUCACACGUUCAUGUCCAAAUUCUAUUUUCAAUGGAAUCACUCCAGGCAACGAGUUUGACUACAUUUGUUGGCAACCCAUGGAUUAAGCCCGGUUAGAUUCGACCAAUUUGAUAUAACCUCAAGGAUAUUUGUUUCCUGACCUUAAAGUAAUGUUUUUUAUUUGUAGUAUUUUUUUUAUCAAAUAUUUCUCUGUGAAUUACUAUUAACCAGACUUUAAAGUCGUAUUAAUUAGCAGGAAAAAUUGUUGACUAGAUAACUCCGUGUUCAUUGGGUUGAACUUUAUCAUCAGAGAAUGGUGGGGUGUCUGGUUGGUAUUGGGUUUCUCAUGUAAACAUGCAGCCAUGCAUGUUUAGAUGGACAAAUCUGUUCCCUAAUGAUUAGCCAUAUUAGGUCCAUUUUACUUAAGUGAGUAAUUUAAAUGCUAAUUGCAGAAGACCCUGGCAGUAAAAUCCAA
rnacentral:lncRNA from 1 species